CAACUUUCAAAAUCUUCAGUGAUUGACUUUGGCAUCAAAUUCUCAGCAACAUCAGCAGGUGUCAUAUUAGUCUCUCCCAACAACUUUUCAAUAAUUGGAAACAAAUCAUCAUGAGUCUCAACAUCUAAGUAGUUUCUUGCAAGAACCUUGAAAGCUUGAUAGCUACAAUAAGACAUUUCUAUAUGCUUAUCCAUUCUUCCCCUCCUUAUAAGAGCAGGAUCAAGUUUGUCCACAAAAUUUGUUGUGAAAAUUAUUAUCCUCUCUGAUCCACAUGCUGACCAAAUUCCAUCAAUGAAAUUCAACAAACCAGAAAGAGUUACCUUACUUUCAUUUUUCUCUUCUUCUUCAGCUUUCUUAAUAGGAUCCUUCAUUUCAUCAUUCUCAUCAUCAUCUUUCUUUUUUUUCUUCUUCCUUUGCCCAGUGAGAUCGAGAGAACAAUCAAUAUCUUCGAUAACUAUAAUCGAUUUACUUGACGUUUCAAUCAAAAGUCUCUUCAACUCAUUGUUAUCCUUAACAGUUGUUAAUUCAAGAUCAUACACAUCAUAGUUCAUGUAAUUUGCUAUAGCUGAUAUCAUAGUAGAUUUUCCAGUUCCUGGAGGACCAUAAAGUAGAUAACCACGUUUCCAAGCCUUUCCAACUUUAGCAUAAUACUCUUUACCUUUCUUGAACUUAAGAAGAUCAUUUAAAAUCUCUUGUUUCUUUUCUGGUUCCAUAGCUAGGGUUCCAAAUCUUGCAGGAUGCUCAAAAGUUGUGUGAUUCCACUUUUUGCUUCUAUACCCCCACCAAUUACUACUAGGGUUAUUUGUGUAAAGCUUUAGUUGCCUAUUCUUGCUCAUAAUAGAUUUUCCUUCAUCCAACACAUGUUGAAUGUAAGAGGUAGUGAUGACUUCACGAUGCUUUUUAUGGAAGGUUAGGGUUAAGAAUCUUUUUUCAUCUGAAGUAGGAUAGUAAGAAAAUGAUUGUGAUUUUGAGGUGGUGUAAUUAGCAGUCCACCAAACUUUGACUCCAUUGAACUCAUCUAUGAUUUCUUCAUUAUCAUCCAUGCUUAGGACAAGUGGGUUUUGGCUAUCUUUGACAACUUCAGCUUUAAGUCUUCUAGCUCUUUGGGAUGAGUUAUCACUAAGAUAUGUUUGGAUGAUUUUGUAAGUUUCACUUUGUUUGAGACGUUCACCGGAUAAUUCAUGAAACUUUAUAUGGAUGUAUGGAUACAUAUAGUUUGUGAAUUUGUUUGUGUAUUUUAGAAAAUAUACACGAAGAUUAGGUGGGAAAAAUUUGUCAAACAUGGCAUAUACAAACAUUAUGCUAGCCAUGAUUGAACCUAGUUGUGACCAUAGUUCCCCAAUUUCCAUCUUCAUACUUUGAAAUGUUUAAAGGUAAGAGAAAUAUUUGGUUGUUUUUUUCUUUCUAACUUUUGUGUGGUGUAUGAAGUAAAAGGGUGUGGUAUUUAUAAGGAGUAUAAUAAGAGUGUUUCAUCACGUGUUCUUCCACAUGGAAAGUAGCAAGUAGGUUUCUUUAUAUUUUCUUGUGAGUUUCUUGGUGAUUACGUUUUACUAGAUGACACAAGAGUUGGUAAAUUCAUUCAUGGGUGUGUUGAAUAUUUUGGUAGUUGAACAUUAUUAUUUGGACCACUCAUAUGUGAUCUUGCACUAUGAUUACGUGUGAACUUUAGAAUUUGGGUUGAUGCAAAUUCAUUUUUUGAUUAAGGUCAUAUCACAUCUAGCUAAUAUGUGAUUUUUUUGAGACGGCCAAAAAUCUAAAAAGUGAUCCAAUAAUAUGUGAUUUAGUGGAUAUUGAAUAUGUUUUAAUUCUAUUUUGAAAGUUGAUUUGAAUAUAAUUUAUCACAAGACAGCUUGUGAAAUGACUUCCACAAAUAUAAUAAUUUUUUUUAUGUCAUAUGACAUCGAUCCAAUGCAUUAUGCACUAGCAAUACUUGACUAUAAUAAUUCUUUAACUCAAAUUAAAUUGCACUAGUAAGGUUUUCUCAUUGACUUCUACUUGACUAUAAACCAAUAUGACAAAAGGGAAGGUUGGGCCAAUUGGCUAUUUCAUAAAAGCGUGGUUUCAAACUAAUAUGACCAUUGCAUAUUUAAAGGGUCCUCAUUUAAUAUCAAUAAAGAUAGGUAGACACCUGUAUAUUCUUUUGUAUUAUUUUGGAAAAUUUAAGUUAAUCAAAUAUAUGGUCUGCGGGAUCACAUUUUUUUCAGUUGUGUAACCACUAUUUUUUUAGUAUUUAAAAGCUGAAAAAUAUGGUCAUGCAACUAAAAUACGCGUGACCAUUAUUUUUCCACUUAGCUAACUAAAUAAAUUAUGGAAAAAUAGUGGUUACACAACUAAAAAAAUGUGGUCACACAGAUGGUAUAUUUGGUUAACUUAAAUUUUUCAGAGUGGUACAAAUUGAUAUACACAUUAAGGCUGUCUACCUAUCAUUGCUCUUUAAUGUAGACUAUCCCAUCAAAUUUGAUACCAAGGCGAAUCAAACAUAAAAUCUUGAUACAUUGAUGUGUUGCCACUCUCUUAAUCUUAAAUUCUGCCACGAAUUUCCAAGAUCCGACUCACCUAAACUUAAUUUAUAUAACAAAAUAGAGGCGUUCAAGCUCCUCUCCUUUAUUAGUAUUUUCUUUAUGUUUUCUCUAUGCAUAUCGCUUUCCUAUAUGCAAACAACACGAGAAGAUGAUCCAAUUUUAAAAACACUCCAUAUAUAUUUUAACAAUAUUUGAAGUUGACAAUAAAAUGGCAAAGGAGUUCUAUUAUUUGCGUGAUGCAAAGGGGGGAAGAAUCUCACCCAAACAAAUUAUCGUAAUUUUAAAUAUUAUUUGAUUCAUAAUCAAACAAAAAAGUUGAUUAUUUGAAUUUUUCAUGCUUUAUUUCUUUAUUGUAAUAAAAGGGAAGAAAAAGGAGAACGAGGCCUAAAUAAAUAAAUAAAAAAUAGGGCCCACAUUUUGGACUUGUUUGAUUAAUGACUCAUGAUUUACUACUUUCAUGAUAAUAAAAACUUGAGCUGAACAAGACUAACGUUAAGGAGGAAAGUUCACAGAAGACUUGACCAUGACAUUUAUUUUGCAUGUUCCUCUUGGUGGAUGGUUAAUUUGACCCCAUAUGUCCUUUCUUUUAGGAAUGGGAUGGAACCAGCGUUAAGGAAAGUUCACAUAAGACAUGUAUUUUUUUUUAGUGGGGCAAUGUUAAUUUGUAGAGAAAAAUAUAGAAAAUUAGGGGGACAAGAUUACUUGAUGGCCAAGAUUUAAGUUACCAAAUUUGUGAUGAAAAUUCAACACACCAUGCACUAGAGAAUCCAAGAAACACUUGCACAUGUGCGGCAGAUCCAGGAAUUUUAUAGAGUCUGAGCAAAAAAUUUAUUACAAGACGUUACUUCCUUCCUGCGAAUAAUUUCACAUUUCCUGCAGAUAAUUUCACAUUUCCUGUCGAUAUACUUUUCCUGCGGAUCCUAAAAUCCUAUGGUAUUACCUCACCUGGGAACCUAAAUCCUUGACAAAAUCUGCAGGAAAUGUAUUUCCUGCGGAAUUUACACGAAAAUCCGCAGAUCAAUCCGCAGAAAAAGCUAAAAGUUCUAGGAAUGGUUGGGUUUGCUACAAAGAAAGUUGGAGCUAAACCUGAACUAGUGCCCGAGUUAGCUGGGGGUGGCUCCGCCCCUGUGUACUCUAAGUCCCAACAUAGUGUGAAACAAACCCAAGAAAAUGCACAUACCUACCCUCUAAAGCUACAAUAAAUCACAUGCAGAAGAAUUUAUUGUGCUAAUAUGGUGGCCCAUCAAUGUUGGCUAAGAAAACACUCUACCUUCAACAUCAAGCGCAACAAAUUACCCAAAGUUAAUUUGACGACACUAGACUAGGAGAUAUACUUCUCAUAGAAGGCUCUAAAUUGAGAAUUGGUCAAACUAAACGCAAACAAAAUGAAUUCCAAUUUACCCUUGUCAAAAACUCGCAUUCCUACGGUAACCACAUCAAUGACGGUUUGAUCAAGAUCAAAUUAUACAUAUUUAAAGGUUGGAGGAUCUAAGUUUUAAAAAGUCAAAAUCAAUUUAAAAUAUCCAUUAUCGAUUCUCGAUCCAACAAUGUCUAACGUUGUGUUGCAUGUGUGUGAGGCUCUUAGGACCACAUGAAAUCUAAUUUCAAUAAAAACGUGGUUCCAAAAACAAAUCAGAGACUCUCGAUAGGUAAAAAAACAAAAUUACCAUAAGAGAACUGUAUCUAAAGUAUGAGUUAUCAAUAAAAAGUACUUAAUAAUUAGGAAUAUGUGCUAUUAAUUUGUUCUGGAUCAACAUAAAACCCAACAAGAAAGGCCCAAUAAGCCAAGACCGAUUUCGCUCCGGGUCAAGUAUAGCAAAGGUGCACACGAGGCUCUGUGCGGCUUACCACAUAGGAGCACACCUAGAGUUAAUAUCCGUAAUUGAAGCCAUCCUUAACGAGUUAUGUACAUCACGCCACAAAUCAGGGAGACAAUCAUCAACCUCCUCGCCUAUAUAAGCGCAACUCAGUGUCACACUCAAGGUACUGUUCAUUCACCACCUUUUCGCACAAAUCCACCUCUUUUUGAUACUUACUUGAGCGUUGUACUACUAGCAUGUCUACAAGCACCAUUCUCCUCUGCCAUAGAAGAUUGCUUUGCUCCAUGCGCACCACCGCAACAACAACUAUUUCUAUAAGAGAACCACCACUACAUCUCCUUGCUAUGCACCGGACAUACCAUAAUUUUUUUUUUUACCAAUGUUAUAAAUUAAAUACUAUAGAAGCUGGAAUCUAUUAAAUAUGAUAGUUUAAUAAGCGACACAACUUGGUUUUAGGCCCCGUUUGGAUUGGCUUAUUUUGAGCUUAUGUGGGCUUAUCUACUCCCAUAAGCCUUUUUAAAGGUGUUUGGGUAAAUAAAUAAAAAUAGCUUAUCAUAGUUUCAUGAGCUGCUCAUGCCAUAUUUUAAUAAGCCUAAAUUUUCAGCUUACCCUCUGGCUUAACAAGGAGCUUAUGAAUUUAUGUAACCUCCUUCGAUUCUCUCUGGAGCCACUUUUUCAAAACAUAUAUUUUAAUUAUAAUUUUUUUUGAAGGAAUAUUUUAAUUAUAAUGUUAGUUAUCUUUGGCGGUGCAUCAAUAACAAAAUUGCUAUAUACUUAUCUUAUUAAAGUAACAAACAUAACUAAGAUUUUUUUUUUUUUUUAAGAAGAUUUUUAUUAUUUUUUGUGUUACGUAACAAAAUGAAACUGAAUAAAAAAACAAAUUUAACUUGUCUUUUUUGGGUAAAAAACUGCACACUAAUAUCAAUAUAUAUGAUAUGUUUAUUUACACCUCUAAUGUUAAUUUUGUCUUAUAUGAAUAUUGAUAUUUUUUUUAGGACAAAUAUUGAUUAUACUAUAUAUAUAUAUAUAUAUAUAUAUAUAUAUAUAUAUAUAUAUAUAUAUAUAUAUAAUUAUAAUUAAUAUGUUAUAAUAUUGUUUUUUUACGCCUUGAUUAAUUUUAUCAAAAAAAAUCUUGAUAAUUGUGGUUCAAUUCUUUGAUUUUUUUGUUAAAUUAAAAAUAUUUAAAAUUUCGAUAAUUGCUUAUGUAAUGUCACAUCCAAACACUUCAAUUUAUGUAAGUACUUUUUAGUGUACAUAUCCAAACAUAAAUAGCUUAUCAAGUAUAAGAGCUUAUGAUAUAAGUUCUAAUGUUAUAAACACUAAUGCUAUAAACAUCUAUAUAAGCUGUUUAUCCAAACGGGGUCUUAGUUUUAAGGAAAACUUGGUUCUUUACAAGCCAAUUAGUCUUUAUAUAACUCGUUCUUAUAUAGCCUUUGAUAUAGUGUUCUAUUUACGCGACCAUUCUUUGAUAAAUACUUCAUCGUUCAUUCAAAUAAUAUUGACCAAAUUAUACUCUUCUUUCAUAAAGAGAAGCUUGAAUCACGCCUCCAUUCCUCGAGAAUUAAAACCUUACUCUAAAUAUUAGGAUUAGGCCUACCUCAGCCCUAUAAAACUAGAGUGUAAGGCGAUGACUACCUCUAACUUAUGGACAUAUGUUCAUGCCAUUUCUUAGAAUAUCCGUGUUGAUUCGGAGAAGGCUGAAGAAUUACAGGAACUUUUAACACAAGUUUCACCGAAGGUAUGUGAUACCAUUCUGUUGGAUAUGAAAGAAAUACAAAAGUUUUACGGUAAAGUCUUGUUAUUCGAUAUGUUGCUUAGCAUGAGGAAUGAAGUCGUGUUUAACAACAACUUUCAAGAUACACACUGACAUAAUUGUUUUUAGGAGAAUGCUAAUGAGUGCCUUUGGAGCAUUGGUUAAGUUCUUAAAAUUAGUAAGUUUGCAUCAAAAAGUGGUGUAGUUAUUGCAAAACAAAAGUAAAAAUUUAUAUUUUCAAGACAAAGUUUCUACUAAUGGAUUCCUUAACCAAUGUCCUUAGAGCACUGGUUACCAAAACCUUUUUUAUUUUAUAAAAUUAUAGGGUUGACUUGUUAAAGCGACCCUUAAAAAAAAGAUCACCUUAGCAAGCCGACCCUAUGAUAUAAGACAUUAAAUCGAUGUAUGAAAAAUUAUUUUUGUUUGGCCUUUUUUUUGUACAAAUUUUUGUUUGGCUUUCUAUUAGGUGGAAUUUGGAUGCAUUGGAAAACUUUAUUGCUCUUAACACCUUGGUAAUUGGUAAAAGAUAAAUGUGCAUAGAAAUUGCUUCAUUUAGUGUCGUUAGCUACAUUAUGAAGUACUAUUUGGUUGAUGAGAAAUGAUUUUCUUUUCAAUAGAAAUGUGGCAAAUAUGACUGGAAUAUUUGAUAAAAUUUAACGGUUGUUUCGGUAGGGUUAGAAUCCUAACUCGUUUCGGUAUGUGUGGAAGAUAGGCAAAACAAUUUGAUUUUUAUAUCCGUGGAAUAGCCCACUAUCAUACAUUAAAAAUAGGCUAAAUAUCACUUUUGGUCCUUUUAAUUUGAAAGAAUUCUCAAGUUAGUCGUUUAAGUUUCAAAAGUUUCAAUUAGGUCCUUUUAAUUUGACAGAAUUCUCAAGUUAGUCCUUUAAAUUUCAAAUAGGUUUUUUUAGUUGAUAAACUAUUUCAUUGUUACCCCUUCUAUCAGUCUAAUUUUAACUGAUGCUGAUGUAGCCGUUAAGUUGUUGACUUGGAUAAAAAUGCUAAGCUCCAGGGUGUCAAAACGCUACAUUUAAUGGUCACAAAUGAUCAUUUAUAGUGCUGGAACGAUCAUUUGUUACCAUUAAACGUAACGUUCUAACACCCUGAAGCUUUUAAAAAACAGCGUUUUGAUCCAAAUCAACCACUUAACGGCUACAUCAAUAUCAAUUAAUUAUUAACUAACAACAGGUAUAACGGUGAAAUAGUUUAUCAACUAAAAUGACCUAUUUGAAACUUAAAUGAUUAACUUGAGAAUUCUGUUAAACUAAAAGGAUCUAUUCGAAACUUUUGAAACUUAAAUGACUAACUUGAGAAUUAUGUUAAACUAAAAGGACCAAACGUGAUAUUUAGCCUUAAAAAUAUGAUUUUUUAAAGUGUAUUGGGUUUUUUUUUUUUAAAGAAAGUGUAAUGGGUUUUUAAUACCCUUGUAUUCAUGUUAAUGCAUUUGCUUAUAAAAAAAGUCGCUUAUCAGUAGAUCACACUUAAUUUUCAGUUCAUGAUUGAUGAUGAAAUCACAUAUUAGAUGUAAUGUAACUUUAAAUAAAAAAUUAGUUAGUCUAAAAUCAAAUUCCAAAUAUCGCACUCUAUCACUUUAAAAAGGAAAAUUAAAAAAAUAUCAUAGAAAUUGUUAGUAUGUCAUAAAUAAUAAUUUUUUCAUAAAGAAUGAUGCAAGGAUGAAGGAUAGUGCGAUUGAAAACGAUAUAUUUUGUCUUACUGGGAAAAAUAUUUAGCCGGCAUUCCAAAUAAAUAAUGUUCAAAUACCAUUUUUCGUUUUUAUAUAUUUUCUUUGGUUAUGUGAAUUUUUGUUUCUUUUGUCGUUAUUUGUUAAUCUAACCACUCUUUGAUGAGUUCAAUUCUCACUGUUUUUGUGAACUUUGAGGCAUGCUUUAUGCUGGUGAGUCUUGAAGUCAAGAGAAACUCUUGCAUGAUCACAACCCUAAAUUGAAAAUAAGCUUAAUAGCAGUUUUCGCUCUCCAACUUUUACAAAGUUGCGAUUUUGGUCCCCUAAAAAAAAAAAAUACAAAACCGUCCCCUAAGUUUUGCAAUUGUAGCAGUUUUGGCCCCCCAAUGUCAAUUUUUGGUAAAAUAAAUAAAAAAAAAAACACGUGGUACCUCACUUAGGGUGCCUUAGGGUGCCACGUCAACGUAGAGCGAGUCAAAAUUGGUUUUGCGGGCCAAAACUGCCACAAAUGCAAAACUUAUGGGACUGUUUUGUAGUUUUUUUUUUCUUCUUAGGAGGUAAAAGCGCAAUUUUGAAAAAGUUAGGGGUCUAAAACUGCUAUUAAGCCUUAAAAAUAUUUGAGUGCAUACACGCAAACGACAUAAAUUAAAAGAGAAAUAAACCAAUCACACCAUUUUUUACUUUUAUUUUUAAAUUUUUCUUAUUCUAGUGUGUGUGCCUAAGCAUAUUUUAUUUAUGUUUGUAACCAAUUUAGACUUUCUUUUAUUAAAAAGAAAAAUUAACUACUCUUGUGUCUCAUAGUAAAACAUGGCCCCCAAGAAACUCACAAGAAAACAAAGAGAACCUACAUAGUCUUUUCCAAGUUGUGAAAGAAGAACACUUGAAAACACUCUUAAGUAUCAUACUGCUUAUAAAUACCACACACCUAUUGAGUUUAUACAACACAAAAGUUAGGAUCAUAACCAUAUACAUUACCUAACAUUUAAACAUUUCGUAUCAUAAGAGAUGGGAAUUAGGGAAAUAUGGUCAAACCUAGGCUCAAUAAUGGCUAGCAUAAUGUUUGUAUAUGCCAUGUAUGAGAAAUUCUUCCCACCAGCACUUCGUAGAUAUCUUCGAAAAUACACUCACAAAUUCACCAACUUCAUGUACCCUUACAUCAAAAUAACCUUCUAUGAGAAAUCAGGAGAUAAUCUCAAACACAACAAAACAUACACAACCAUCCAAACAUAUCUUAGUGCUAACUCUUCACAAAGAGCUAGAAGACUUAAAGCUGAAGUUAUCAAAGAUAGCCAAAAUCCACUUGUUCUAAGCAUGGAUGACAACCAAGAGAUCACAGAUGAGUUCAAUGGUGUCAAAGUUUGGUGGUCAGCAAAUCACAUCACCUCAAGAACACAAUCAUUUUCAAUAUACCCUAGUUCAGAUGAGAAAAGAUUCUUAACCCUAACUUUCCAUAAAAGGCAUCGUGAACUCAUCACUACCUCUUACAUACAACAUGUUUUGGAACAAGGAAAGGCUAUAACAAUGAAGAAUAGGCAGUUGAAGAUUUACACUAACAAUCCAAGUAAUGAUUGGUUUAGGUAUAGAAGCACAAAGUGGAGUCACACAACUUUUGAGCACCCGGCAAGUUUUGAAACACUUGCUUUGGAACCAAAAAAGAAAGAAGAGAUUCUAAAUGAUCUUGUUAAAUUCAAGAAAGGGAAAGAGUAUUAUGCUAAAGUUGGAAAAGCUUGGAAACGUGGUUAUCUACUUUUUGGUCCUCCAGGAACCGGUAAAUCUACCAUGAUAUCGGCUAUUGCUAAUUUCAUGAACUAUGAUGUGUAUGAUCUUGAAUUAACAAUUGUCAAGGAUAACAAUGAGUUGAAAAGACUUUUGAUUGAGACGUCGAGUAAAUCGAUUAUUGUUAUUGAAGAUAUUGAUUGUUCUCUCGAUCUCACCGGGCAAAGGAAGAAGAAAAAAGAGAAAGAUGAUGUUGAGAAUGAUGAAAAGAAGGAUCCUAUAAAGAAAGCUGAAAAAGAAGAGAAAAAUGAAAGUAAGGUAACUCUUUCGGGUUUGUUGAAUUUUAUUGAUGGAAUUUGGUCAGCAUGUGGAUCAGAGAGGAUCAUAAUUUUCACAACUAAUUUUGUGGAUAAACUUGAUCCUGCUCUUAUAAGGAGAGGAAGAAUGGAUAAGCAUAUAGAAAUGUCUUAUUGUAGCUAUCAAGCUUUUAAGGUUCUUGCAAGAAACUACUUAGAUGUUGAGUUUCAUGAUGAUUUAUUUCCAAUUAUUGAAAAGUUGUUGGAAGAGACUAAUAUGACACCUGCUGAUGUUGCUGAAAAUUUGAUGCCAAAGUCAAUCACUGAAGAUUUUGAAAGUUGCUUGAAGAAUUUGAUUCAAUCUCUUGAGAUUGCAAAGAAAAAGGAUGAGGAGGAAGCAAAGAAAAAGAUAGAGGAUGAGGAAGUAAAGCUCAAGGCAGAGAAAGAGAAACUAGAAUUGGCUCAAGAGGAAGAAAAGGUUAAGGCUGAUGAAAAGUUAGAGGAAAAUGUGAAGGAGAAUGGUGUGAAAGAGAAUGGCGUCAUCCAUUGAUUUGGAUUAGAUUAAUUUCAGUAUUUAAGUCAAUUUAGUGUAUUCAGUAGUCUAAAUAAUAUUUUGAACCUUUUAUAUAAAAGCAUGGUUAAGUAUUAUUAUGUAUAUGUUCAUAUUUUUUGUUUUAAUCAAGUAAAUAAAAAGGCUAGAGAGGAGGAGGAAGCAAAACUAAUGAAAGAGAAAGGUAAACAAGAAAAUGCUCAAGAGGAAGAAAAUGUGAAGGCUAAUGAAAAUUCUAAGGAGAAUGGUUUCAUCCAUUAACUUGGAUUGGAUUAGUUUCUGUAAUAUUAAUAAUAUUUUUAAACUUUAUAUUAAAUCCUUAAUAAUGUAUUAUGUUGUUCCUCUACAAAAAUAAAAAAAGUAUUAUGCUGUUCAUGUUGGUUGCUUUUGAUUGUUAACGGCCAUGUUUAGGUGUUUGCAAGGGGAAAUUAGUAAAUUUUUCUGCACAUUUUAGGGCAAAUUUGUUGUUGUGCACAAUUGUGAGUUAUAUGUUUCACAUCGGAUAAAAUAAUAAAAGUUGAACACCUUAUAAGUAAGAGGACCCCAUAAACUCAUUGCCUUAAGGUUUUGGGUAAGAGUGUGGUAUCUCUCUUGCUUGAGUGGUUGUUCUAGCCUCGAUGUGGACGGUCCCCCUAACUCCCCUCAUGAUCCAACAAAAUCACAUCAAAGAUUAUGUAUAUUAGGAUUAGGAUAGGAUAGGAUAGGAUAGGAAUGGAUUAGGAUAGGAUAGGAUAGAAUUAUUUCUAAACUUUCUUUUUUGUUUACAAAAUAAAAAAUACCUCACUUUCAAAUUAAACAUCAAGAUAGUUCCACGUCUAAAAUUUCUACCACGUCUAGUUCAAGAUAUCAAGGAUAUAAUACCUUCAACCUACAACAAAUUUCAUUAAUUUGUUUUUAAGAAAAUGAAAUUGAUUAAAAAAAAUCAGAAAGGAAACAUUUUAAAAAAAUAAUAUUUACUUUUCUGCGUGAAAGAUCAAAUGGGCUAAUAAUUAGAAUGUGAAUAAAUUUGAGGUGUAUUGUGUGAUUAAGUGGAAUCUAAUUUAGAGUUUUAGAUGAGUAGUAUGAAUAUUUAAAAAAUGUAGUUGAGUGGUUUAAAUAAUUGGGAAGUGUGAAGUAAUAUAAUGUAUUAUGUGAAACUCAUUUAUACCACCCAUAUCGGUGGCAUGAUGUGGUUGCUAUGGGCUAUAUAUAAUGGCCAUACUUGGUGAAAGCUAUUGUGAGAUGGAUAACUCUACUCUACCGAUCUUUGGUAUAUGUACAAACAAAAAAUUUGCCUAAUAUUAUAUUACUUGUUUACGCAAAUUUGACAUUAAUUGUUUAAUUUAUACUCUAGCGAUGUUACCCGAUAGAAGAAUACAAAUGCUAAAGGAUGAUUCUGAUGUUAACAUUCUAUCAUCUAAUAUUUAAGCAUGCCAACUCUUAUGUUUUUUUAAUGAAAGUUGAGCAUGCUAACUUUUCUUAUUUUAGGAUUACAUUUCAUCCCGUUUCAACUACAAAAACAUCAGAAAAGUUCAUCAAUUGAGAGUAAAACCACAGAUAACAUAAAGCACGCAUGGAAACAAUUAGGGUCACUUAUAUAGCCACAAUCAUGUUCAUAUAUGCCAUGUUUAAGAAGUUAUUUCCUCGUUCCUCCUGCUCUAGUUACAUUAUAAAAAGUCUGAAAUCAACCAAAAGAGAAAACAUACUAAGACGGAAGCUUAACAUUUUCAAUACGCGAUUAAGCCUCCAAAAAUGAUAAUCAAAAUUCAAAGCAACAUAUAUUAAUUUCAACCAUAAAAUAAAAAAGACGGAGGCUUAACAUUUUCAAUCAAAGCUUACAAAUGCUUCUCCUUGUCCUGAAAAAAUCAUUUAUUCCUCACUUAGUGAAUGACCCAAAUCACGAAAAGUCAAAUAAUAUUAAGAGCCGAACAUUUUUAGAAUAACCCCCUAACCCACCAAACUAACCGAGGUAAUCCAAUAAAUUGCCUUGAGAUGUCAUUGAGAAACCUAACCAACUUGAAAUUAGAGGCAAGAUUCUACCAUACAAAUCACAUUUCACAAAUAAGUGAUCCAUGUCUUCAUUCAAACCAUAAUUUACCGGAUAAUAAUCUACCACCUAUGGAAAUUAUCCUUUGUUGGAACACGGUUAAGAAGCAAACACCAAACAAAAAUAUUAAUUUAGUGGAACUGUUUUUAACCACAAAACAUGAUUGUUAUCCAGAUAGGUGUUGUCUUCCACUUCAGUCAAGUUGUUAUAAACACUACCUACCGUAUAACAUUGGGAGGAAUGUAACUUCCAAACCCAUCGGUCCCACACCUUAACCAACAAAACAACUUAAGAUAAUCGCUCAACGCACUCCCCCACCAACUUCUCAUCUCAAGCAAACAAUCUCCUUCGCCACUUCCUCGUCUCACCGUUCACUCCCCAGCCUAAAGCAUUCAUAUCUGCUACAUCAUCAUUUUGUUUUCUGCUAAGUCAUAAAGCCUACUAUAUCUAAUGAUGAUAUGCUGUCAUUAUGUAAUUUUUAGGACUUAUUUUGACAGUUUGAUAGAGUUCUAAGGCAAUAUGAGGUAACCAGGGGUGUGAAAAGCUGAAAUUCUAAAAGUGCUGAAAAUAGGCAAUCGUGGCGCGAUUUUAUGUAGCAUGGCACGAUUUUGUGACCAGAGUGAAGGUUUGGUUCUGCCACUAAAAUCGUGGUACAAUUUCUGGUGGCGUGGCGCGAUUUUGCAGAAUCGUGUCUCGAUUUUGGGUGCAAAAAAUAUUUCCUAUUUUAGUUGAAGUCAGUGCUAGAAACAAGGGUUACGAUUUUGGAGAGCAAAAGUGAGAUUUUGAGACCUGAAGACUUCUAGGGGGCGACUUCAUCAACCUUUUAUCGGUUCAUGUAUGUUUUAAUUCUUAUAUUGAUUAUGCUAUUUGUAAACUCAAUUAUGAGUAGCUAAAUCUCUUAGAGAUUAGCUCUGAGAUGAUUCUAUGUCACCCCAAUUGAAAUAUGUUGUUGUGAAACUCUAUAUAUUGUGAAUAACAAUCUAGUUUUUAUUCAAUUCAAUUGUUCUUAAUGUUUUUUAUAUCAUGAUAAAAUAUAAACAUGAUUUCGUGAUAAUGAAUGACUACUGACCCUAGCUUUCAACUUAGACCUAAUUGAAUUGUUCAAAUAAACAUGGUUAGUCUAGGAAUGGAUAAUCUUUUAUUUGUGAUAUUAAGUUAACGUUCUUUAAAACCUUCAAAGAAUAUUAGACCACCUAAGGAAUUAGGGGCUGUAGUUUGAGAAGAGGGUCCUAUGUCAAGGGAUUGAUUAUGGCUAUUUUGUUAACCAUCGUGAAACUAGAGAAUCAUUCGUAAGAAAUAGGUGCAGUAUACCAAUUAGGGGGACUUAGAGGAUUCGAAAGACUUGAUCUCAUCUAUCUCCUUAUCUUUUCCAAAACUAUCUUUAUUUUCUGGUAAAUUAAUUUUAUACAAUCAAAUCUACUGCCUCAGACACCAAAAUAAUUUACACAUCCUAGAUAGUAACCUUAUUGCUAGACUGAGAUUAACACAAUCCUUGUGGAUACGAACGUAUAAAUUUUAUUACUUAAUUCAAUUCAUUUUUAGUACACUUGCUAAUAGUCUAUCAUCUAACAUUCAAAGAAAUUUUAUCGAGCCAUGGAUCUCUCCAAAACAGGGUAGAAUACCCAUCAUCCACCUCACAACCAAUAUUAUUGAGCAACCAACCCCCAUCUACGAAUCCAACACCCUCUCUAAUCUUAUUCACAUUCUCACAUCAAACAUAUCCUCUACCUCCCUCAAAACACGUUCCCCCUCCUUCCUCGCCAUACACAUCACAUUGUUGAAACAAAAAUCUUUUUGAUGAAUGUUUUAAUGAUAACAAACCUUAUGGAAUAAACACUAAGUUUUAUGAAUUGUGAUCUAUUGAUGUUUGCAUUUGAGUCUUUUCAAAGAAGUUGACAAGAAAGAAGUCUCUGACAAGUGCAUAUAUAUACUCAUUGAAAGAAUACCAAAAUAGUAGUAUCACAAGCUCAAAGAAGAUAUAAAAAGAAUAUUGUUUGAAUCAAAUGAGUGUUGAUUGAAGAUUCAACAAGAAGAUGAAUUUUAUGAUCAAUUGACUCAUCCUUGUCACCACUUGGUUUUCAACAGAGCCUUAAAGAUUCGAGGAAUAAAGAGUUAAUAUUUGAAAGGAAUGAUCUUCAAAUGAGUAUUAUGUUGUCCAUUUUGACAUCAUUAGAAUCUCAUAUAAAGACAUCAUAAGAAGGAGAAGAUCAUAAAGCUACUAACGAGCAACCUGCUUAAAAAGAUUAUGCUUAUUGAUGCUUGGAAUUCUCCAUCCAAAAGGGAAAAAAAUCCGAGAAAGAAAAACAUGUUUUUCUCAUUUAAUCUCAAAGGUACACUCAUUUAUAAGCUUUAUAAUAUCUGAAAAUUGAUAUGCAAUGUUUUGUUAUAAAUGAUUGGAUGCUCUUAGAAAUGCAUGAUAAAAUCAAUUCCAAAAAUAUGCGACUUUAAACCUUAGUUGUGAUUUGUGAUACAUGCAUCAAUCUAAUUCUUAGCCUAAAAUGAAAUAAAUCAUUCAUUAUUGGUUCCUACUCCUUUCAUGGAAAUAUAAUAUCCAUAAACAUUUUUAUAAUUCAGUUUUGAUGAUUAAAACUGUUGCAUAUGUAUUAUGUUUUGAGAAGACAUGUUAAAAAUGCAUUUAAUAUGAAUUUGUGUGUUCUAAAUUCAAUAAGGAGUUAAUGUUGUAUCAGGAGAAAUUUCUGCAUAAUAUUCCAUAAUUCUACACUCAGUUCUUCUGAGAUAUCUUUAUGAAUGGUAAAUGAUUCAACAUCAUUUUGACAAAAUUCAUCUCUCGUUAUUCUUAAUAAAAUCAUACUGAUGAUUCUUACAAUGCACUUUUAAGUAAGUUAUUGUCGUCAAAAGCAUUUUGAAUUAUUCUCAUUUUUAGUAGUUCAUCUAAAAUUUGUUCCUAAAAUGACAUAUCAUGAUAUGCCUUAGAAUUGGAUCAUAAAAAUAUCUUAAUUAUAAAAUUUGAUAACCGUAUGAAAUUUGAUGAUGUACAUGAAAUUUAUUCUAGUUUACUCAUUAAAUAUUCAUUUCUUGAUUCUUAAAUGAUAUAUUUUCAAUAUGGUUUUUGAAAAUAUUUUAAUAUGAAUUAUGAUAAUUCCAUUCUCCAAUCAUGUUUUUAAAUGGAUCCGAAAUUAGGAUUGAUCUUUGAAAGAUUUUCAAAAGAAACACAUCUUUUUUUUCUUGAACUUUUUAAAGUGUUGAGAAUGUUCUCAUCACAAUGAACAAUUAAAUUUUUGCAUCUAAAAGCCAAAUGAAUUAACACUCGUGUAAGUUUAUUUUUUUGGCAAUGCUUUAAAUGAAUAUUGAUAGCAUUGUUGAUCAAUAUAUUGUUAUGUGAAUGUCUUUCUAUAUCUUUUAUAGAAAAUAUGUUCCUGAUCAUUAAAUAAAUACUCUUAGUCUCUUAAUCAUAAUGCAUGAUAAACCUGAGAUUUAGAACAAGAAAAAUGUUAUAAUAUAAUGUUUUUGAUAAAACAAUAUAUGUCUGCCAUUUGUUUUUCUUACAUAUGUAUUUUCAUAAUUGAUUUGUAAUGACUUAUAUAAAAUCAUAUUCAAUUUCUUUCAUUAUGAAUAUUCUAAUUGAGGUAUAUCGUUGAAAGAAUUUCAACAACAAAAGAUCAUAUUACUGUUUAACAAGAGAAUAAUUUGUGUGACUUGUUUAAAAUUGAUCUAAAAAGGGAUUUACACAUUUCGUUCCUUAGCUAAUAUUAAACAUGUUCUUAUCAUGAAGUUUUGUUGAAUCAUUGUUGAAUGUAUACCUUAUUGCACUUGCAAAAUUUGCAGACAAAAAUAGAGAUAUAAACAUCAAUGACACAUCAAUAUAUAUUUGUGCAUAAAUAUGUUGCAUAAAUACUUUUCUUCUAAAUACUUGUGGAAAACAUGUAAUUGAUUUAUAUUAUAAUGAACAAAUCAUCUUGCAUAGAAUUAUCAUUUAAAGAUGUUUAUCCGAAAAAAUUCAGAAAUACCUUCAUCAUGAAAAUCUUUUGAAGAGAGAAUUUUUUUUUUUUUUUGUCAUUGUGUCAAAUGACUCUUAUUUUAUCGCUUCCACUAAAUGAAUAAUUUUCUCUCUAUUUCAAACAUUGUUGAACAUGACUAAGUAGUCAUAAUUACCAUUAUUCAUGUUUUAUAAUAAACUAAAAUGAAUAUUAAUCAUGAUACAUGCUUGAUUAAGUUUGAUGUGACAAUAUGACUUCUCAAAAACAUGAUUCUUAUGGGCAAUAUCUAUUUUUUUUUUUUUUAAUAUUCAUACCCAAUACUUUUUGAUAGAUUCCAAAAGAGGGAGAUAUAUAUAUAAUGAGAGAGAAACAUAGGAUGAGGAGAAAAAUCCAAGAUGGAUUUAAUCAAUGAAGAAUGUAAAGAAUUAACCUCUUGCAUAUGUUUAUGGGGAGUUUAAUUAGAAUGAUAAGAAUUAAACUCUUGCACGUGUUUAGGGGGAGCUUAAUUUCAUAUCUAUGAACAUUCUUACAUUUCUUAUUAUACACAUCCAUAAAACUUAAGAGUUAUUCAAAAGAGGUUUGUCAUCAUCAAAAAGGGGGAGAUUGUGGAAAUAAAAAUCUUUUUGAUGAAUGUUUUAAUGAUAACAAAUCUUAUGGAAUAAACACGAAGUUUUAUGAAUUGUGAUCUACUGAUGUUUGCACUUGAGUCUUUUCACAGAAGUUGACAAGAAAGAAGUCCCUGACAAGUGCAUAUAUAUACUCAUUGAAAGAAUACCAAAAUAGUAGUAUCACAAGCUCAAAGAAGAUAUAAAAAGAAUAUUGUUUGAAUCAAAUGAGUGUUGAUUGAAGAUUCAACAAGAAGAUGAAUUUUAUGAUCAAUUGACUCAUCCUCGUCACGACAUGGUUUUCAACAAAGCCUUAAAGAUUCGAGGAAUAAAGAGUUAAUAUUUGAAAGGAAUGAUCUUCAAAUAGCUUCUAAAAGAGUUUAAGGAAAAGGCACAAAAGUUUCAUUCAAGAGAAUGAUUCAAUGUACCUUCAUGAUUACAUGCAUGCCUAAACUAAAACAUCUCAAAGAUACUCAAUGGACAAGAUACAUUGUGUGCAAUCACCAAGAGGAAUUAUGUGAUAAAUUGCAUCAUCAACAAAAUAAUUCAAGGUUAAUUAAUCAAGAAGGUAUUAUCAUCUUAUAUAGAAGAGAACAUCAUCAACUCUGAUGAAAGAACGUUCUCAUAAAGAGGAUGCCUCUUACACUCGAGAUUAUUCUCAUCAUUUGAUUAAAAGGAUUAGAAUCAACUUUGAAGAGAAACCAAUUCAUGAAUGAAUUAUUUAUUAAGUCACUCAUUAAUGAUAUUGAUUGGAAAAAUAUCAAAGAAGAAAAUUCAUGAUCAUAUGCUUGAAGAUUCUAUCAUAAAAGAUUUAAGAUGAUCGAAGAAUCUUCCAUCAUUUUUUAAGAUAUGGUUGGGAGAAUAGAAAUCAAUCAAAGGAAUAUUUACUUUGAGAAAGGUUUCUCACGUUCUUACAAAGAACAUUAUGGUUAUACAAAGUGAAGAGAACAUCCCCACUCGAUGUUUUUAAAGAUAACACAUGUGUUAUUCUUCUUUCUCUCUCCCUCCCUCCCUCUAUCUUUUAUUUUUAGACAAUAUGCACACACCAUCACACACAUUAAUAUUUAUUUAUCUUCAGAAUAUUCUGGUCCUAAUUAAUCAAAACCAAAUUAAUUCAGAGUUCUCUGGUCCUUAAAUAACCAUUAAUAUUAUUUUAUCAUUCAGCUUAAUAAUUAAUUAUAAUUGCUUUAUAUUUAUCCAGAGUUCUCUGGUCCUUAAUUAACCAUAAUAUUAUUUUAUCCGUUAGUUUCAAUAAUUAAUCUUAUAAUUGUUAUCCAGAACAUUCUGAUCCUAAUACAACUGCUUAAUAUUUAUAUUCUUCCAGAGUUCUUAGGUCCCAGGUAAUUAUUAAUAUUGUUUUAUUAUUUUAGUCUCUUUAUUAAUUAUAUAAUUAUUAUCUAUAACCAUUGGCGGAGCCAUGUAUAAGUGAGGGGAUGCAGCUGGGCUUUUAAAUUUUGCACAUGAUGGCACUGUUUUCAUGCUACUUGAACCUACUGAUAUUUUAACAUUGCACCACCUGACCCAAAGAUUUUGCACUAAUAAGUAAUAAUCCAAGUUUUCCUCACCUUAUAAAUGACCCAAGUCUCACUUUUAUGUUGGCACAACAAUGUUUGAUUCAACGAGAAAUAAUUAACUUGCUUUUCAAUAUACUCUAUUUGGUUUUUCCUAUUACAUUUGUUUCCUUUGAUUUUGUUAUUUUUGGUAAUAUUUUCUUAUUAAUAAUUGUAAUAAUUGAAUUCCUUUUAAAGUAAUAUAUAUUACUUAAUAUUUUAUAUUCUUUCAUAGCUUAAUACUCCCACCAUCCUAAAUUUUAACAAAAAAAAUUCACUUUCUUUGUCCCAAAUUAUAAAUGAAAAAGACAAAUUUUUAUCCUAUUUAAUUAUGUUGGUUUCAAAAGUCAUCUUUUCCAAACAAAAAAAAAAAAAAACGCUAGGUGUACUCAAUUUACUCUCCCUCCCAUUUUCUCCGUAACCAAUAACCUAUGCAAAUUAUGUUUACUUCUUCCCGUGAAACUUAUCUCAAGAACACAAAAAGUUAUACACCGAAUUAUUAUGCUUUAGAAUUAUAAAUUUAAAAUCUACACAAAUUCUAAUUUUCAUUUGAUAGAUUUUGAAAUUUUUAAUUUGUACAAAAAUAUUGAAAAUAUAAAUAAAAUUAAACAUUUAUGCAAAAAAUUAGAUAUUUGAUUGGAAAAAAUGACGAAAUUUAUAAAUGUAGUAGUAUAAAUAAAUGAUAAUUAAAAGAGAAAAUAAUUGCACAAAAUUUUGCUAUCACUAAUGAAGUUGAAAGCUCGAACCCCCUACUCCAGGGUUCUGGCUCCGCCACUGUCCAGAACAUUCUGGUCCUUAGUAAAACUGCUUAAUUAUUUAAACCUUACUCUAUAUAUCCAGAACAUUAUGGUCCUUGAUAAAACAAUUGUUUAAAUAUCUAAAUAUUUUAUAAUCUUCUUUUAUCUAACAUUUAUCAAGAAUUUUCUUGAGUACAUAAACUUGUUAAGUUUCAGGAUUAAAAUUAAAAAGGGUCACAAUUAAACCCCCCUUUCUUGUGACUAUUUCUUCCACUUCAAUUGACAUCAGAGCGCUGCCUCUAAGGGGUUAGCACUUAACAGUGCUAGAGGAAAAGAUUCGGGAAGAAGUGAUGUUAAAACUUGCAAAUCAAAGUUUAUGCCAUAGAUGGAACAAGUCUAUAUAUGUCAAAAUUGAAUGUCCUCUAAACAAAGAAGAACAAAGAAGAUUCAUUUACAAAAAGAAAUCUACUAUGGAAAUUCUAGUUAACUUUGAUAACUCAAAAAUAGAAGAACAAAUCAACAUGUGUCUAAUGACAAGCAACGAAAAAGAGAUUUGAGCAAAUUCUCCGUAAGUAUGAAUAUUUUAUUUAAGAUUGUAAAGGAAGAAAUUGCAUUUUUAUGAUUUUAGGAUUAAUAUGUCUUUACCCUUUUGUAAUAUAGGUUAUUUCCGGUUUUUCCACCUGUAAAAUAUUUUUUUUUUAUUUACCCCCCUGUAACUUUUGUUUUGUUUUGAUUUACCCCCCUAAUAAGGCCAAACAAAAACGAAAAAUUCUUGAAAAAAUAAAAUUAAAAUAAAAUAAAAUAAAAUAAAAUAAAAACCGAAAAUGACCUAUAUUAUGGGGGUAAAGACUUAUUAACCCAUGAUUUUAUUUAAGGUUAGCUUUGGGUUCAAUGGUUCACUAUCUGCACCCAUUUGCCUUAAGAAAAACGAUAACUUUUUUUUUUGAACGAUUAAGAAAAACAAUAAUUUAUAGCAUCUUCAAUGAAGUAAACUAAAAUGAGUAAACUAUGUUGAUUUUUGUGGGGUCAAAUUGGUACGUAGGAUUUAACCAAUUUAUAGUUGAUCUAAAUAAUUUCUUUUAAGGCAUACAUCCAUUAUUUUUAAUGAUAGCCAUUGGUUAUUAUAAAUAACAAUGAUAUAAUAAAUAACAAAAUGAUGACUGUAGCAGAUAUGAAUGCUUUAGGAUGGGGAGUAAACGGUGAGACGAGGAAGUAGCGAAGGAGGUUGUUUGCUUGAGAGGAGAAGUUGGUGGGGGAUUGUGUUGAGCGAUUAACUUAAGUUGUUUUGCUGGUUGAGGUGUGAGAUCGAUGAGUUUGGAAGUUACAUUCCUCCCAAUAUUAUACGGCCGACAAUGCUUAUAACAACUUGACUGAAGUGGAAGACAAUACCUAUAUGGAUAACAUCCAUUAUUUACAUAUCCAUUCCUCAAAUUGAUAUGGCUCACGUGUGUCCGGGUCAUUUGGAAGGAAAUGAAUAACAUAUUUUUUAGGCUUACGUAGCAGUUUUCACCCCCAUAACUUUCACGAAGUUGCGAUUUUCGCCCCCUAAGAAAAAACUACAAAACCGUCCCCUAAGUUUUGCAACUGUAGCAGUUUUGGUCCCCAAGGCCAAUUUUUGGUAAAAAAAAAAAAAGUAACACGUGGCACGUCAGCGUAGAAUGAGUCAAAAUUGGCCUUGGGGGCCAAAACUGCCACAUAUGAAAAACUUAGGGGGCGGUUUUGUAGUUUUUUUUCUUAGGGGGGCCAAAAUUGCAACUUUGAGAAAGUUAGGAGGUUAAAACUGCUAUUAAGCCUAAUUUUUAAUCAGAAAGGUAUUGGCUCCAAAACAAAUAACAAAACAAGGUAAAAAUGUUAUCUUUCUAGUGGUUGAAGGCGGAUCUCAUUACUUUCGCAUUUAACUAUCAUGACUGGUGGAGACAUUUAUUUUCUUGUCUGGGUCUAUUGUAAUUGCUAUAUGUUUUUUCCUUGAUUUUUCGCGCAACUCUUUUAUGAGAUAUUUGUAAAUGUCUUGUAAAAACUUUUGGAUGAUUCUUCUUUUGCACGUCUUGUGCGUGAUGAAUCUCUGAUUGAUAUAAUAUAUUGCAUUUUGGGUUGUUAAAAAAAAAAUUAAAUAACAAUGAUAUAAAAUAAGCACACCUGACUAGUGUAGCAUAUGAUAACAAGUUUUUUUUUUGAAAAAAUCAAAAUGGAAUAUAUUACUCAAAAACAGAGUGAUUCACCCCGCACAAGGUGUGCUAAAAUGAUGAAUCCUCUAAUACCUGUUACAACACCACAACACCUAAAGAAAAAAGAUGCCACCACCUAAACAAAAAGGUCCAAACACUUAAAUCACACCCAUACAAAAAAGGGGAUGUCUCCACCAAUCGUAAAAGCCAAAAGCAAUAGGCUCAAUAUUCGAAGAAAGCCAGAGAAAAGAAUUUAACUUAACUUUUUCGACAAUAUGUAACGGAUCAAUAACCGUAUUAUUGAAAACACGGCUGUUUCGCUCCUUCCAUAUUGCCCAAACACAAGCAAGCCAAGUAACCUUAAAAAACACAUGAGUAGAUCUAGGCAAACCCGCCAAAUGAGUAAACUGAAUGUAAUGAUCCUUAAUAGAACCUGGAGGAACAAAAGAAAACCAAGCCAGUGACAAAGUAAAACCCAGACAAUUCCAAAAUAUUCACCUCCAAUGAAGAGAUGACCCAUCGUUUCGGAUAGACCACACCCUCCAACACAUAAAUUGUCGUUUGGUUGAAGAAUGAGACGACGCACCAAGUUUGCUCUUGUAGGAAUUCUGUCUUGAAACAACCGCCAAGCAAAAAACGACACUUUUGUCGGAACCAAUUUGUGCCACACGUCAAGAAAAGCAUCAUUAGCCACCUGUUCUUCAGAAUUUGUGAGAAAACGAUAAGUCCCACCAACACUAUAACCAUGAACAGGAUCUAGUAACCACCGCCAACGGUCCUGAAUAUGAACCUGCAAAACAACGUUAUCCAGUAAAGUGAUACACUCCCUCAUACUCUCCUCCUCCCAAGCUAACAACCGCCGUCUCCAAACCCACCCAUUUCCGCCCUCAACCCACCCCCAACGCUCCAUGUCUGCCACCGAACAUUCCUUAUGCACCGCUAAAUCAUAAAGACGACUAAAUUGAAUCUUUAAAGGUACUCCGCCUAGCCAUUUAUCAAUCCAAAAGAAAGUACUACUACCAUUUCCAACCUCCCUCAUAACAUUAACAUCAAACCAGUUACCUACUCCCGAGCCUACUCCUUCCCUCACCUUGCACAACAUACUCCACCAACCGGACACAUCUCUCCCUCCUUCCUGAAUUCUACCACCAACCUCCCCAUACUGUGCCUUUAAGACACGAUACCACAAGCCUUCUUUGUCAAUCAACAACCUCCAACACCAUUUCCCUAACAAAGAUAAAUUAAAUUCACCUAACCUCCGCACCCCCAAACCACCGCGAUUCACAGGUAAACAAAUAGAAUCCCAUUUAAUCCAAGCAAUUUUUUUAGAGACCUCACAACCCCCGCAAAAAAAAAUUUAAAAAUAGAUUCAAUAGAAGAAAUUAUACCUGCAAGUGCCUUGAAAUAGGAAAGAAAGUAAACCGGAAGAGAGGACAGGGCAGAUUUCAGAAGAACUAAGCGACCACCAAGCGAUAGAAAUUUAUUAUUCCACGACGACAAUCUAGCAACAAUUCGGUCCACCACCGGUUGCCAGAAACCGAGUCUUCUACUAUCUCCGCCUAUAGGUAAUCCUAAGUACAAAAACGGAAUUGUACCAGUUUUACAGUUCAACACCGAAGCCGCUUCCGUCAACCAAUUAUGAGAAAUGUUAACACUUGUCAACACGCUUUUAUUAAAAUUUACCUUCAACCCGAACACCUCUUCAAGUAAUAAUAAUACCGCCCGAAUGGUACGAACAUUCAACCAACAUUUUUCUCCAAUAAUGAUAGUGUCAUCAGCAAACUGUAGGUGAAAAAUUUUAAUUUCACUUUGAGGUCCGACACCAUAAGCAUUAAAUAAAUUUGACGACACUGAAGCCUUCAUCAAAACAUCAAAACCUUCGGCUGCUAGUAGAAAUAAAAAAGGCGAUAAAGGGUCCCCCUGUCUAAGCCCCCUCUGAAUAGGAAACUCAUCUCUCGGGCACCCAUUGACAAGGGCCGAAGCAGUAGCUGUUCCAACACAUUCCAUUAUCCACUUCCGCCAAAGAGUCGGAAAAUUCAUAUUAAGCAUCACAAAAUUCAGAUAAUUAAGAUCAACCGAGUCAUAAGCCUUUUCGAAAUCAACUUUGAACAAUAAUAAAUUUUUCUUCAAACGCUUUGCUUCAUCGACUACCUCAUUUGCAAUAAGAAUGCCAUCAAGAAUUUGUUUGCCUCUCACAAAAGCGGAUUGAUUAUCAGACACCACAUAACUCAAAAUAGACCGUAGUCGAUUUGCAAGAACCUUUGCCAACACUUUAUACAUACAACCAACAAGAGAAAUAGGUCGAAAAUCACCAAGCUUCUGUGGACUAGCCACCUUCGGAAUUAGAGCAAUAAAAGUGGAGUUAACACCCUUCGUCAACUUCCCAUUACGAUGAAAAUCGAGAAGAAAUUUCAUAAAAUCAUCUUUCAACUCAUUCCAAAAAUCUUUAAUAAAACCAAGAUUAAUACCAUCCGGCCCGGGACUUUUGAAGCUCUCACAAUCCCACACCGCCUGUUUAACUUCAUCAAGAGAAAAAGGACGAAUUAAACUACCUGAUUGAGCAUAAGACAACUUCCGAAAAUUUAAACCUUGAAUUCCAGGUCGAGUACCCUCUAAAGCGCGGAAAUGAGUGGAAAAAUGAUUAAGGGCAGCCGCACGAAUGUUCUGAACCCCUUCGACAAGAACUCCAUCAACAUGAAUCAAGUGAAGAUAAUUUCGACGCUGUCUAUUGGACAUCAUAUUAUGAAAGAAUUUAGAAUUUGCAUUACCUUCUCUAACCCAAUUCAUCCUCGCCUUCUGCCAAUUCAUACUAGUAUGCACACGAGACAAAGAAUGCAAUUUGACAGACAACUCACGAAUUUCCUGAGUUUCUUCUUCCAAUAAGUUAAUAGCAUCUUUGAUUUUAUUUGUCAAGAAAGUCGAGUAGAAAUGGAAGCUUCUUUGAAAAUGAUGUUGAAGAUGGUGGUAAUGUUUUUUGCUCUUGGUAAUUUUCAAAUUUGUAUAAUAAUUGUACUAGUAUUCAUUGACGAGUAUUAAUUUAAAAAUAUUCCAAGAACCAGGUGUUAUAUUGAAAAACCUCAAUGUUUAACUAAACGCUGUGAAACAAAAUUAUUAUUGGAAGGGUUAAUUAAGUUUUUGGUCCCUAUAAAUAUCUGCAGUUUUGUUUUUAGUCCAUUUAAAAAUAAAUCACACUUUUUAGUCCCUACAAAAUUUUCCAUUAAUGUUUUUAGUCCCUGUUAAAUUAAAAUUUGUUUAAUUAUGCUUAAAAUUUUAAAUUUUUUAAUGAUUUUUUACAUACUUGUUUAAAAUAUUAUAAAAAGUUCCGCAAAAAUAAAUUAGCUCAAAAUUUUAUUUUUAGGUCUAAAUUUUCGUUAGUUUUAUCUUGAAUUUUUGGCGUUUUAAAAAAAUUAUAUUUAAUUCAUUACAUGUUAAAAAAUUCUAUUUUUUUUAUAAAAGAGAUUAUUAUAAUGUUCUUAACAUGUAUGGAAAAAAUAUUUCAAAAAUUUAGAAAUUUAAGCAUAAUUAAACAAAUUUUAAUUUAACAGGGACUAAAAACACUAACAGAAAAUUUUGUAGGGACUACAAAGUGUGAUUUAUUUUUAUAAGGACUAAAAACAAAACUGCAGAUAUUUAUGGGGACCAAAAACUUAAUUAACCCUUAUAGGAAUAAUAAAUACUCAUAGAAUAAUAAUGAAAGACAAGAUGUUUUAAGAGAUUAUUAGUUUUUAGUUAGAUUAUGAUGCCUUAUCAAAUGAAACAUUUCAAUUGGCAAGACAACAAAAUCUAGCUCAUAACAACCUUUGAAUGUCUGAUGAGAAAUGAACCUUACAAUGCCAUCCAAACCUAGCUUAGUGAACACUCAUCACAAACAAAGCCUCAAAGACUCAAAGUUGUAUUGUAUUGGUCAAAAACAAUAACAACCCUUUAGUCAUUAAUAUAGAUGAAAAUGGAGAAAUCAUGUUUGGUGCUAUUCAUAUAAAGCCACUCCCAAAACACAAUAUGUUCUAUUUACCCUUCUUCAUAAGAUGAAAAGAGGUAGUUUACCUUUUAUAAAAGUUAUAUAAACCUCCUCACUAAGUCUUACCUCAAAUAUGUGUUUGGGUGAACCCACUUGGGUUGAUCCGUUGGUGUUUAGUUGAAACUUCGAAGGUACUUUACGUUUUUUAAAAUUUUGCAAAUCGGUCCUCAUAUUUUGAAAAUUUUCAAAUUAGUACCUAUAAAUUUUGAUUUUUUUUUAAUCAGUCUUAUAAAUUAAACAGAGCUGGAUGAAGUAGCUAAAAAAGGAAGAUAAAGAAUUCAAACAACCCAAUCUUUGAGAGGACAAAACCAAUGAAAAACAUGGCGAUGGAAUGAAAGAAAGUAAUUCCAAUGCUAUCCAUAGUAUCAUCUUUUUUCUUAUCACUAGCUUUUUCUUUUUUAGAAUAACUUACAUUAUUAUUUGAAUAUGAUAUCUAAUAGGGUGUGUGAAAAAAUCCUAAAACUUGUGAAAGAAAGUACAUCAAAGUUUAGAUAGAUUGUGUUCUACUUUAUAACCGAAGAGCACUAUAGUUGAACAGGAAAUAGUUUAGACCCAUUACUACAGUUUUCCUUAGCAAAAUAAUAUAACUAGUUGCAUUGGAUACUACCAUUCCAGUACAUAACACAAAAAAUCCCCAUGGCCAUAAUCCGUGAGUAAUAUCUAUAACAACAUAAUAGUAUUCGGCCUCUGCACUAGAUCGAGAUAGAGUGUGUUGUCGUUUUACAAUCAUGACUAAUCAAAUUAGAAUGAUUGAUAUCCUCAAUAUCGAGAUAUGCACAUAAUAGUCUAAUACUACCUUCUCAUGUAUGCUGUUUCUCAACCACUUGAGAUAGCCACUGCUCUCUUCUUCUUGCUGUAUUUAGCUUGUUACUCAAUUGUAUUUUGCAUUUCUGAUUUCGAAGCACAAGCCCUAAAUGUUUUGCAUGCUUGAUUCCUAAUUUUCAUUUUCCAACUGUCAUGUCUGAUUGUGAUUUCAUUUAUCAAGUUAAACCAAAGGUUAAACACACUAUAAUUAGGGCUUACUUCUAGAGUGAUUAUCUACUACACACUAUAAUUGAUAACCUACUAUCAAUUUAUUUCCAGGGUGAUUAUAAACAGACAAUAAUUAGGGCUUACUUCUAGAGUGAUAAUCUACUGCACUGCACAACGAAUUGAAUAUAACGCAAGUUAUUCUUACUUAUUACCAUUUUGCAGAUGAUGGUGGUAAAAUGGAUAGCUUGACUAAUGCAGGUGUACAAUUAACCGUGACGACUGUUUUGGCCUGUGGUUUUGUUUGUAUUUUUAGAGUUUGGUUUUUAUACAAGUUUAAUUCAGAACUGGUACACAUGAAGGAGAGAAACUGUUAAUAUAAAAACAACAAUCAAAACUGAUGAAGCAUUGAAUCAGACACAAAUACCUAACACGACAUAAUCAUAUCGAUACCUAUAUUAUAAAAAUAUAGGACAACAACAUUCGUGUGUGUGUGUCUAUAUAUAUAUAUAUAUAUAUUCAUUUUAUGAGUGGAAACUAUUAUUUAUAAAAAGAGACGGAGGAAGUAAUAAUCAAGCAUGAAUAACCAAAGCUAUUAACAAGAGAAUUCAGACUAAAUUCCCUCAACAUACCAGCAGCAAACAUGAACCUAAUUCAUAACUAUGGCUUUAUUAAAAGGUUUCAAAACACUAUUAAGAAAACUGAAAUUAAUCCAUCUAAUAAAAAAAAACAAAAAAAAAAAAACUGAAAUCAAUCCAAUCUAAAUUAAUGUAUGACACCAUUCUCCUCAUUCAACUCUAGUCUAGAGCCAAUUCUUGUUUAUCUUUCCCUGCCACCAGUUGAGCUUUCUCACCCUUUUUCUUUGCUUCCUCCUCUUCCUUUUCCUUUGCAAUUUCAAGAUAUUGAAUCAAAUUCUUCAAGCAAGCCUCAACAUCUUCGGUGGUCGACUUUGGCAUCAAAUUCUCGGCAACAUCAGCUGGUGACAUAUUAGUCUCUCCCAACAACUUUUCAAUAAUUGGAAACAAAUCACCAUGAGACUCAACAUCCAAGUAGUUCUUAGCAAGAACCUUGAACGCUUGAUAGCUACAAUAGGACAUUUCUAUGUGUUUAUCCAUCCUUCCCCUCCUAAUUAGAGCAGGAUCAAGUUUGUCCACAAAAUUAGUUGUGAAAAUUAUGAUCCGUUCUCCUCCACAUGAUGACCAAAUUCCAUCAAUAGAAUUCAACAAACCCGAAAGAGUUACCUUGCUUUUCCUUUUCUCUUCUUCUUCAUCAUCAUCGUCGUCAUCAUCAUCUUCUUCUUCUUCUUCUUCACUUUUCUUAUCAGUUUUAUCUUUUUUCUCAUUCUUAUCAUUACGAUCUUUCUCCUUUUUCUUCUUCCUCUGACCGGUAAGCUCGAGAGAACAAUCAAUAUCUUCAAUAACGAUAACUGAUUUGCUCGACGUCUCAAUCAAAAGUCUUUUUAACUCAUUGUUAUCCUUGACAGUUGUUAAUUCAAGAUCAUACACGUCGUAGUUCAUGAAAUUUGCAAUAGCAGAUAUCAUGGUAGAUUUCCCAGUUCCUGGUGGACCAUAGAGUAGAUAACCCCGUUUCCAAGCCUUUCCAACUUUAGCAUAAUACUCUUUCCCUUUCUUGAAUUUAACAAGAUCGUUUAUGAUCUCUUCUUUCUUCUCCGGUUCCAUAGCAAGUGUUUCAAACCUUGCAGGGUGUGCAAAAUUUGUGUGACUCCACCCUGACAUCCACCAACAACCGCUAUUGUUGGUGUAAAGCUUUAGUCGCCUAUUCUUAAAUAUAAUAGCCUUUCCUUGUUCCAACACAUGUUGUAUGUAAGAGGAAGUAAUGAGAUCGCGAUGCCUUUUGUGGAAAGUUAGGGUUAAGUAUCUUACCACAUCGAAAUUAGGUCUUCCUGAAGAUGCUUUUCUUGUUGGAGCUUUGCUGUUUGAAGACCACCAAACUUUGACUCCAUUGAACUCAUCCUCAAUCUCUUCUUUGUCGUCCAUGCUAAGGACAAGCGGUGAUUGGCUAUCUUCCACAACUUCGGCUUUAAGUCUCUUGGCUCUUUGACUCGAGUUAGCACCAAGAUAUGUUUGGAUAAUUGUGUAAGUUUCGCUUUGUUUGAGACGCUCGCCCGAUGAUUCAUAAAAAGUUAUUUCGACGUAAGGGGACAUAAGGUCUGUAAAUUUGUUCAUGUGCUUUUCAACAAACUUAUGAAGAUCAGAUGGGCAGAAUUGCUCAUACAUGGCAUAAACAAAAACAUUAGGCUAGCCGCAAUUGAGCCUAAUUGUGACAAUAUUGACUCAGUCCAUAAUGAAAUCUGAGAUGAGAUCACUAGAGAAAACUAAUGAAGAAACAAGUUGAUAAAAUUCUUGCUAGUUAAGAUCCCCUUAUGGAAAAAACUAUUGCAAGAUUUGUUAACUCAUUGUGAUAGUAACACGACUAUUGUGAAAUCGAGAAUCGUUACUACAAUGGUAAGAGACGAUAAUUAAGGCACGAACAAAGAACAAUUAUAGCGCUAGCUACUCUUCAAUGGAGCGGUUAAAAUAGAUUUUGUACGUACUGAUGAUAAAUCAGCAAUUCCUUUGUCGAAAUGAUUAGCUAGAAAGAAUGUCUAAAACACAUCCAAUAGGAUGAAACUAAUGCCUAAAGAUAACACGAGUGAUGGUAAUUACCCAGCCUAUAUGACUGGAGAUCACAAAAAGAUAGGUUCAAUGGGUAAUAACAAGUCAUGUUGUGAUAGAACAUGCUAUGACAAAAUCUAGAAAAGUCUUAUUCCUGUAGCCAAAUGAGGAUGAGAUAAGAGAAACUCUAAAUGAUAUUAUUACCAUAUGUGGAUAGUAGUACAAAGCUACAAGAGUACUAAUGAACUCACCUAUACGAAUGUGGAAUAGAGGCCGGUUACUAUGGAAUUUUGAGGCAGAAUACCUAGAACGUUCGUCAAAUUGGGAUAAAUGUGCAGGGCCAUAAACACACGAGAAAUAAUAUUUGUACAACUAUCUUGUGACAACUAUUUCUCUCAUACUCAAAUGGUGUUCUUUUUCUCUCUCUUCCUUUCUCUCUCUCUCUCUCUCUCUCUCUCUCUCUCUCUCUAUUAUUUUUGACCAAUAAGAAAAGAGAGAAACAAAAUUGUCACCAAAGUUGUCAUUAAAUGGAUGUCCAAAUAUCAUUGCGUGCUGGUUCUGUGUCUAAGAUUGAGUUUAAUGCCACAAGCAACUCUAGUUAAUUGAAAUUUUACUCGUUAUGCAGAGGUUCAAGUUGUAGGCGACACCUUUGUUUAUUAGCAAUCUUAUAAAAACUUCUUUGACGUUAUUUCUGAAACUAUUUUAAAAUCCAAGUGGGGAUUGUUGGAACAUGUGUAAAAAUUGAGUUAAAAAACUAGACACAAAUUCUCACAUUUGGUAGAAUUAGUGUUGUGUGAAUUAAAAAAAAGUGGAAGUCCUACAUCGGAUGGUGCACACAUAAUAGUAGUAUAUAGUAGGGGUGUACCUCUAAAGGGGUACAUAAUUAUGUGAACAAAGUAAGCACUAGCGAAAUUUUUUUGAUAUAUAUUUUAUUAUUUGAAAAUGUUAACUUAAAUAAUUAAUUUAAUCAUUAUUAGAAAGUGUUUUCUUAGUCCUCAAGUUUUGCUAAAAUAUUUUAGAACGCAAUCUGAAAUAUUUUCGUAUUCAAUAUAAUAUAUUUUGGUAUUUAUAUGAAAUAUAUUUUUGUACUCAAUAGUAUAUUUUUGUACUCAAUUUGCAAUAUUUUUAUACUAGAUCUAAUAUGUGAAUUACUUGUUCCCAAAGUUGCACACAUACUAUUUGUGAAUUUUCUCUAUAAAUAGAGAGCUCACAUAGUUCAUUCCAUACACCGAAAAAUAUCUGAAACAUCGAAUCUUUUUCUUCGCUCUUCCACUUUGACUUGUGUUAACGAGUCUUUCUUCUCUUCAUCUAGUCCUUUUUCGGGGUAUAAUAUCCCUUGGAAUUAAGAACGGUUUUAUGAGCAUAGUCCCUCAAUAAUCUUUGUCCUUUCGGAAUAAAGAAUAUUUUUAAGAUCAUAAUCCCUUUUCUGGAAUAAUGUCCUUUUCAGAAUUAAGAAUGAUCUUAAAAUAAAAGUAUAUAUAAUCCAUUUUAUAUUUCCUUCCCUUGGAUAAAGUUAUAUGUUAGAAUGGUGAUAACACCAUAUUUGAGUGGUUGAAAUUUCAUAUUGAUAUUUGGAGAUGUUAAAAGUUAGAAUGGUGGUAACAUCAUAUUUGAGUGGUCACAAUACCAUAGUAGAGUGGUCAUAGUACCAUAAUUGAUUGGUUUCAGUACUAAAAUAUGAGUGGCCUUAGUAUCAUAUUGGAGGUGUAAUUUUCGAACGUUUUUUUUACAACAUAGUAGUUAAUCGUGCUGUUGUAGUUUAACUUGUUUUUAUAUAGUCUCCUUUGCAUUACUUUGGACAGUACCAUGGAAUGUCUUAAAGAGAGCGACAUGAUAGUGACUCAACCUAGUAACAACUUCAGUAGAUUUAUUUUUGGCAAAAUUACAAUUUUAGUCCCUUAACUUAAUUUCAGGUAACAGUUUGGUCCUUUAUCUGUUUUUUCAUUUCAAUUUAGUCCUUUUUGUCCAUUUUUAAUACAUUUUCAAGCUUCAAAUCUAAUAUUAUUAUCCAAACAUAAACGAGGAUCAUAGAUUUGAAGACUGAAAGACCAUAAGAAAAUUAAAUCAUGAAUUUUAAGCUUAAAAAUUCAUAUGAAAAUGGACAAAAAGGACCAAAUUGAAAUGAAAAAAUAUAUAGGACCAAACGGUUACCUGAAAUUAAGUUUAAGUGACUAAAAGUGUAACUUUGCUUUUAUUUUUUAAAAAUAGAAUUUAAAAAUUCAAAUAGAACGGUGUUCCGUUAAAUGUUAUUAAAUGUUAUUCUACAUCAUUAUAUAUGAUGUGUAAUAGUAAAAAAUAAGCUCUAAAUUGGGUUGUGUAAAAAAAAUAAGCCUUAAAAUAUUGUUUCAAUUAAAAUAUGAUGAAUACAAGUGUAUUUGAUAGGAUGCCCAAUCAGGUGCUAUAUCUAGAUGAAAUAAAAAGUACAUCAAAGUUUAGAUAACACUGAGCUCUAAAAGCAAUUAAAUGCAUGCAUGCAAGUAGAAUAGAAGCCAUCACCACAUUCUUCCUUAGCUAAGAAGCCCUCAUGAAAAUGCAUACAUCUUAUUUUAUUACAUACUAUAGAUCUCAAUGCUCCACCCAAUUAACACAAAGAAACAACACAAGAAUAGAACCAUCCAUCAAAUGCCAAUUUUUUUUUUUUUUUUGGCACUUUAAAAAAAACCCCAUAUGUCUUGUUUUGAUUUCACACGAAGAAGAGAUACUAUUAAUACAAAGACAACAUUCAAACAAUGAAGCAUUGAAUCCGACACAAACACCAAACACGACAUAAUCAUGUCGCUACCUAUAAUAUAAAAAAUAUAAGACAACGAGGCAUUCAUAUAUAUAUAAUUAAUUUUGUGUGUGGAACUUGGUAAGAGACGGAGGAGGUAUUAAUCAAGCAUGAACAACCAAAGCUAUUAACAACACAAUUCAGACAAAAUUCCCUCAACAUGCCCAAAGGCCAAACCUAAACAUUAUCUUUAAAUGUGUCAAUUCAAAAGCAGCACACAUGAACAUAGUUCAUAACUACAGUUUUAUUAAUUAAAAUGUUUCAAAACAUUACUAAGAAAACUGAAAUUAAUCCAACUAAAAAAAAACUGAAAUCAAUCCAAUCUAAAUUAAUGUAUGACAGCAUUCUCCCCAAUCAAAUUUUUAUUAAAAGGGUCUUAUUAACUAAUGUUCACGGGGAAUUCUUUAAGGAUUUCAAAUUUAGCAAUUAUUUUUUCAAAAAUAACUAUUACAAUUUACAAUGCAUUAAAUACACAAUUUUUCAUCAAAAAACUUACCAUUUAAAAUGUUUAAAGAGUGUCUCGGGGGCACUAGUUAACAUUUAAAAUGUUUGGAAAAUGUUAAGUAGUGCCCCCGGGGCACUGAUUAAGGAAUUAUAAAAGAAAAUGUUUUUUUUUUUUUUUUUUUUCCGAAAAUUAUGUAUUUUACUUUUUGAAACUUGAAAAAAUGUUGAUUUUAAUGUUGACUUUGCUUUUUCUUUCUAACUUUGGCUACUUAACUAAUACCCGGAGGCACCGGUUAACAUGACCCAAAAAAAUUCCUCAUAUUUUUCACUUGCCUCCUCCACCUAUUCAUCCUACAGUCUUGAGCCAAUUCUUGUUUAUCUUUCCCUGCCACCAGUUGAGCUUUCUCACCCUUUUUCUUUGCUUCCUCCUCUUCCUUUUCCUUUGCAAUUUCAAGAUAUUGAAUCAAAUUCUUCAAGCAAGCCUCAACAUCUUCGGUGGUCGACUUUGGCAUCAAAUUCUCGGCAACAUCAGCUGGUGACAUAUUAGUCUCUCCCAACAACUUUUCAAUAAUUGGAAACAAAUCACCAUGAGACUCAACAUCCAAGUAGUUCUUAGCAAGAACCUUGAAUGCUUGAUAUCUACAAUAGGACAUUUCUAUGUGUUUAUCCAUCCUUCCCCUCCUAAUUAGAGCAGGAUCAAGUUUGUCCACAAAAUUAGUUGUGAAAAUUAUGAUCCGUUCUCCUCCACAUGAUGACCAAAUUCCAUCAAUAGAAUUCAACAAACCCGAAAGAGUUACAUUGCUUUUCCUUUUCUCUUCUUCUUCUUCAUCAUCGUCGUCGUCAUCUUCAUCUUCUUCUUCACUUUUCUUAUCAGUUUUCUCUUUAUUCUCAUUUUUAUCAUUACGAUCUUUCUCCUUUUUCUUCUUCCUUUGACCGGUAAGCUCAAGAGAACAAUCAAUAUCUUCAAUAACGAUAACUGAUUUGCUCGACGUCUCAAUCAAAAGUGUUUUCAACUCAUUGUUAUCCUUGACAGUUGUUAAUUCAAGAUCAUAUACAUCGUAGUUCAUGAAAUUUGCAAUAGCAGAUAUCAUGGUAGAUUUCCCAGUUCCUGGUGGACCAUAGAGUAGAUAACCGCGUUUCCAAGCCUUUCCAACUUUAGCAUAAUACUCUUUCCCUUUCUUGAAUUUAACAAGAUCGUUUAUGAUCUCUUCUUUCUUCUCCGGUUCCAUAGCAAGUGUUUCAAACCUUGCAGGGUGCGCAAAAUUUGUGUGACUCCACCCCGACAUCCACCAACAACCGCUAUUGUUGGUGUAAAGCUUUAGUCGCCUAUUCUUAAAUAUAACAGCCUUUCCUUGGUCCAACACAUGUUGUAUGUAAGAGGAAGUAAUGAGAUCGCGAUGCCUUUUGUGGAAAGUUAGGGUUAAGUAUCUUACCACAUCGAAAUUAGGUCUUCCUGAAGAUGCUUUUCUUGUUGGAGCUUUGCUGUUUGAAGACCACCAAACUUUGACUCCAUUGAACUCAUCCUCAAUCUCUUCUUUGUCGUCCAUGCUAAGGACAAGCGGUGAUUGGCUAUCUUCCACAACUUCGGCUUUAAGUCUCUUGGCUCUUUGACUCGAGUUAGCACCAAGAUAUGUUUGGAUAAUUGUGUAAGUUUCGCUUUGUUUGAGACGCUCGUCCGAUGAUUCAUAAAAAGUUAUUUGGACGUUAAGGGGACAUAAGGUCUGUAAAUUUGUUCAUGUGCUUUUCAACAAACUUAUGAAGAUCAGAUGGGCAGAAUUGCUCAUACAUGGCAUAAAGAAACAUUAGGCUAGCGGCAAUUGAGCCUAAUUGUGACAAUAUUUCCCCAAUUCCCAUUGCCAUCUCUAAUACUUAGAAACUAUUGUGCCUAUUCUUAUGUUUUUUUUUGUGGGUGUUGGUUUAACCUAUAUGGUAUGAUUUUAUAAGGAGUAGUGAUUUAGGUUUUGUAUCUUGGCGACCAAGUUAUCUAGGAGACAUACGAUUUGUUGAUUUUGUGGGCGUGUUGAAAUUGGAAACUAGCAGCCAGAUUAAAAAGAAAAUAUAAAAACGAAAAAAAUAUAUUUUAUUUGUAUACUCAAUUAGGCAAAUAUAUCUAUUUAACUCCACCAAAAAUAAAAUAAAAAAUUUAAUUAAUAUAAUUUAAUGGUGUACAAUUAUUUUAUACUGUGAGAGAGUAUAUAUUAAUUAAACAAUAAAAUAAAAACUGUUUAAUUAAUUUGUAUCUCCAAUUUGUACAAUUAUUUUAGAUUGAGAGAGCAUAUUAAUUGUUUUUUGAGUAAAGGACAUCAAUUUAUUAAUUCAGAAGAGUAGUGAAAUUAUAAAUAAAAAUUGUCUCUGAAGCAUUACAUGCUAUUGAAAGAGUCAUGAGGUGCCUUAAAAAGACUAUGACUAUAUGCUUAUAUUAUGAAAUGUAUCCUAUUGUACUUGAAUGGUACAAUUAUACAAGAUGGAACAUUGAUAAUGUCUCUAUAGUUAGUAUUUUUAGAGUCACUUUUAAGUAGUUUUAAGUUAAAUUGAAUCAAUUCAAAGUGUGUUUUGGAGUCAAACUGAGAUAAAAAGGAUUUUAAAAAUAUUUAGUUGUGUUAAUUAUUUUUGUUAUUAAUUUUCACUAACUGGAUGAAUUCUUGGAGUUUUUGUUCUCUUAAUUUUUAGGUAAUAAAUUGAGCUGUUGGAGUGAAAAAAAAAAACCAACGAUCAUGUUCAACGCAUAAGCCAAAGAAGGGCUGAACUUGUUUCCAUAAGAAAAGUGCAGAACAAAUUUCAAUCAUGCUUAAUUCUAAUCUUAAAUUCACUAAGGAAUUAGGGAUUAUUUUAGGAUUAAUGAUUUUGUCACUAAGGAAUUAGGGCAAGAAUAAAUUAGAGAAUUCGGUAGUGAUACGAUAAGUCUAUUCAAUGGUCAUAUUCAAGUUGUUAACUCAAGAUAGUCAUCUGGUGAAACUCAUCCCUGACAAUCUUAUUAUUAUAGUUCAAUCCAAUUUUACUUUACUUAAUUUUCAUUAUUACAAUCACACAAAUUCAGUACCUUUUUGUUCAAUUAAGUCACAAAUAUUAUUCGACAGUAUAACGCGAUCCUCGAGUUCGACACUUGGUCUUACCGUUUUAAUUUUACUACUUGCACGAUUUCGUACACUUGCGAAAAUCGCUAUCAAAUUUUUGGCGCCGCUGCCGGGGAUUGCCAUAUCAUUGUUGAAUUUUAUUUUUGCUUAAUUUUAUUUUUUGCUCUGCAAUAAAAUUUUUGUUUUUAUUUUAUUUUUAUUUGUUUAGUUUUCUAAUGUCGAGUUCUAGUGAUUUUUUUCUUCUUUGUUGAGAUAAUUAACCACCACAUAGUAUGGAAGAAUUCGACGAUUAUCUUCUUUUACAACUUUUGGAUGAAACUGAGACUUGUCUUCUUUCUGCACAAUGUCGUAUACUUGAGGGGCAGAUCAUGAGAGAUGCAUUUGAAAAAGAUCUCCUUCAGGUUCUACCUCAUAGAUUUGAUUUUUGUAGCGAAGGACAUAUAAGUGACACUUUUGAUUAUUAUGUCCUACCAUCAAAAGGUGAAGAAUUAUUGGUCUUGGAAGCAGAAGAAGAUGAGUUUUUCAUGAAAAAGAUUAAUUUUAAGCAAAUGCUACCUACUCAAAUACUUCACAAAGAUUCAUAUGACAAGAUCUUUCGUUCCAAGGACGUUUUGAUUGAAUUCAUGAAUAAUAAUGAAGGUUCAAUCGAAAUAUUUGAGAGUCAAUGUGAAAGGUUAUUUGAGCGAGUGGUUGAGUUUGAGAAGUUUAAGAUUGGAGAUAAGUUCAGUGUUGUGGGAAAGAAAGAAGAUGAGGGAGAAUCAAUAAACAUUAAGGAUGGUAUAGUUGGUAAGGAUACUCAAAAGUCCCAACUUUGGGGGGAUUUAGAUGCCCAACCAAAUAUUCAUCAACAAAACAUUUCUCCAAUUUAUUUUAGCGACAAGGCAGGGGAAAAGGAAGAGAUUGAUGAUGUAACGCCCACUUUCGUUUAAUCGUUUAUUUAAUCGAGUUUAGGUGAUUAUAUUAUAAUUAUAUAAUAUAUGCAUGAUUUUGGUAUGUUUUGAUGAUUUAUGAUGUUUUGAUCGAUGACGUGAUGAGUUAUGAGUUUUGGAGGAUUUGAUAAGGAUAUGAGAAUUAUUUUAUUGUUAAAUAAAAUAAAGAUUUAAAAAUAAUAUAAAAUAUUUAGUUGAGUGCUGUUUUGAUAUUUUAGAUAGUUUUGGGGGAGAAAGUGAGAUAAGAUAAGUAAUUAAGAAGAGGUAUAUAAAGGUUAGACCUAGUUUUAGAAAAACAUUGUACGAACGACUGUUUUGGAGAAAAAAGAGAAAAGCUUAGAGAGGACCAAGAGACCAAGAGUGCUGCGAUUUUCUUCAAACAAGGUAAGGGUGAGACUAAUAAUUCAAUAACGUUGAUCGUUGUAAUUCUGAUGAUUAAUUGACAAAGUAAGGAUUGAUUUAGAAAAGUUUUGGAAUUAGGUCAAAACCUUAAAAAUUGAUGAUCAAACGGUAAAACUUGUUUAGAUUGAUGUAGAAACCGUCCUUUAACCUUAGAACAUGUUUAAGAUGGAUUAUGAAAUCAAAAUUAGGCUUUGAACCAUGUUGUGUGUUGGAUUUUUGAGAAAAACCCUAGUCUGCCCGUGCUUCUGUUCAUCGCUCGCCACGGCGAGUGAUGAGCCUCGCCUCGCGAGUGAUGAACUUCAUCGCUCGCCACGCGAGCCCUUCCCUUCGCCUCGCGAGUUGUUUAGUUCAACUCGCCAUGGCGAGCAAUCCCCUUCGCCUCGCGAGUUGUGUGAUGCAGCUCGCCACUGCGAGCCACCUUACUCGCCAUAGCGAGCCAAGGCAGAGUGUAUGUUAGAUUUCGUGUUUCGACCUUUUUAGUUGGACCUUGAGUGCCUUGAGUGCCUGAACAUACCUAGUAUUGAUUAGGAAUGAAUGUAGGAUCAGAGGGAACCCAGAACAACCUUAGUUUGGGAGUUGAGUGGUGCUCGCCAUGGCGAGUAAGUACUCUCGCCUCGCGAGUACAACCAGAAUGAACUUGUUUAUGUGUUUGUGCGAUCUGUGUCGCACUUGUUGAUCAAGAGUGAACCCCUAACUAGUAAUGAGACCUAGUGAUGUCGUUAAAUGCAGUCUGUAGAGUUGUUUAAGUCAUGAUAAUAUUAAUUGAACAUGAGCUAAUGUAAUGUACAUUUAUGCAAGAUAUGAAGAUUUGAUAAUGAUACAAUUUAUGUGCUAUUGAUAUAAUGAUAUCAUCUUGUUAUGUGACCUGUUUAUGCUGCUUCCGUUAUUUAACUAAGUGCAUAAGUAUAUGAUGAAGUUUAGCUCCAAAUUAUUGGAUGCAUAUUGAUAAGUUGAUUACGAUGUUUUGUUCAUAUGUGUCCAUGCAUAGCAUCUCAUUGAGCUUAGUCCUCACCACGAAUAUUAGGAGCUUUGUCCUCCGCACGUUUUAUAGGAGCUUUGUCCUCCGCACGAUUAAAGUAUAUUAAUACUUAUGAUGACGAUUGGUACCACAUGCAUAUAAGGAGUCUAAGAGCAUUGUCACAUUGUCAUGAUUAAGAUGCCUUGUUGAUAAUGAAUGAAUACGUGAUUAAGUGAUAAGUGUUUAUUGAUUAUGUUAUGUCGUUGAUAAUAAUUGGAUGUAUGAUUAUGUGAUAACUGUUUAGCAUUUAUGCAAAGUUAAUAAUGGAAUGAUUAUGAUGUUAAUUUAUGAUUCACGAUUACACUGAUUAAUGUUAUUUUAUUAUGAAAUCUCACCCCUUCUGCUUGAAAAUGUUGCCCUUCGUAUGGGUAACUUGCAGGUGAUCGUGCUUAGUGUGCAGUUGCCGUCGUGAGUGACCUUGCCUUCACUGUGUCGUCUAGGUCGCUCUGAUACGUAACGGGAUGGGGUUAAUGCUAUAACAUGCUUCAUUCUCUUACGUGAUUAAUAUGAUAUUUUUAUAAUGUUUAAGAUAUUGGUUAAAUUAUUAUUUAACUGUUGGAUUUACGUUAUAUGUGAUAUCCCGUUGUUUGAUGUUUACUCUGAUAAAUAUUAUGUUUUUAAAGAAGUUUUGCUAUUGGGAAAACGGGGUGUUACAAUUGGUAUCAGAGCAGGUCGGUCCGUCCGGUCAAUUAGAGAGUCGUGUUGAGUCUUAGUAAUAUUUAUAUUACUAUCUUAUGUUGUUAUUGCUACUUUUGUAGAAUAUCAGGAAUGGCCGGAAGAAACGAUGCUGCGUUAGCUGCUGCUCUACAAGUUGUUGCCCAAGCUGUGGGACAACAACCUAAUGCAAAUGCUGGUGCGAACGCUGAAGCUAGGAUGUUGGAGACGUUCAUGAAGAAGAACCCUCCGACUUUCAAAGGACGUUAUGACCCUGAUGGAGCCCAGACGUGGCUUAAGGAGAUUGAGAGGAUUUUCCGGGUUAUGCAGUGCAUUGAGGAUCAGAAAGUGCGGUUUGGUACUCAUCAGCUAGCCGAGGAAGCUGAUGACUGGUGGGUUGCUCUUCUGCCUACCCUUGGGCAGGAGGGAGCUGUUGUGACUUGGGCUGUUUUCAGGAGAGAGUUCCUGAGAAGAUACUUUCCAGAAGAUGUUCGCGGGAAGAAGGAGAUCGAGUUCCUUGAGUUGAAGCAAGGAAACAUGUCUGUGACAGAGUAUGCUGCCAAGUUCGUGGAGCUGUCGAAGUUCUACCCGCACUAUACUGCUGAGAAUGCUGAGUUCUCGAGAUGCAUCAAGUUCGAGAAUGGUUUGAGGCCCGACAUCAAGAGGGCGAUUGGAUACCAACAGCUUAGAGUUUUUCAGGAUUUGGUCAAUAGCUGCAGGAUCUAUGAAGAGGAUACCAAGGCUCACUACAAGAUAGUGAAUGAGAGGAAGGGCAAGGGACAACAGAGUCGUCCUAAGCUGUACAGUGCCCCUGCUGAUAAAGGGAAACAGAAGAUGGUCGAUGUUAGGCGGCCUAAGAAGAAGGAUGCUACAGAGAUUGUGUGUUUCAAUUGUGGUGGGAAAGGCCACAAAAGCAACGUCUGCCCUGAGGAAAUCAAGAAGUGUGUCCGGUGUGGCAAGAAAGGUCAUGUUGUAGCUGACUGCAAUUGUACGGACAUUGUGUGCUUUAAUUGCAAUGGAGAGGGUCACAUUAGUUCACAGUGUACUCAGCCUAAGAGGGCACCGACUACUGGUAGAGUCUUUGCUUUGACUGGUACUCAGACAGAGAACGAGGAUCGUUUGAUCAGAGGUACUUGCUAUAUUAAUAAUACUCCUUUAGUUGCUAUUAUUGAUACUGGUGCUACGCAUUGUUUUAUUGCUUUCGAUUGUGUUUCUGCUUUGGGUCUUGAUUUGUCUGAUAUGAAUGGAGAGAUGGUUGUCGAAACUCCAGCUAAGGGUUCGGUGACUACUUCUCUCGUAUGUUUGAAAUGUCCUUUGUCUAUGUUUGGUCGUGAUUUCGAAAUGGAUUUAGUUUGUCUACCUUUGAGCGGUAUGGAUGUGAUUCUGGGUAUGAACUGGUUAGAGUACAACCACGUUCUUAUUAAUUGUUUUAGCAAGUCAGUGCAUUUCUCUUCCGUCGAAGAGGAAAGUGGUGCAGAGUUUUUUAUCUACUAAGCAGCUGAAGCAACUAGAACGCGACGGUAUCUUGAUGUUUUCGUUAAUGGCUACGUUAUCUUUUGAGAAUCAAGCAGUGAUUGAUAGGUUACCGGUGGUGUGUGAUUUUCCUGAAGUUUUUCCAGAUGAGAUUCCUGAUGUGCCUCCAGAGAGAGAAGUUGAGUUUUCUAUUGAUCUUGUUCCUGGAACGAAGCCGGUCUCGAUGGCACCUUAUCGUAUGUCUGCUUCCGAGUUAUCUGAGUUGAAGAAACAGUUGGAGGACUUGCUUGAGAAGAAGUUUGUUAGACCAAGUGUUUCACCUUGGGGAGCACCGGUUUUGUUAGUAAAGAAGAAAGAUGGUAGUAUGCGGUUAUGUAUUGAUUAUCGGCAGUUGAACAAGGUAACUAUCAAGAAUAGGUAUCCACUUCCGAGAAUUGAUGAUUUGAUGGAUCAGUUAGUGGGUGCACGUGUUUUUAGCAAGAUUGAUUUGAGGUCGGGUUAUCACCAGAUUAAAGUAAAGGAUGAAGAUAUGCAGAAGACAGCUUUCAGAACGCGUUAUGGUCACUAUGAAUAUAAAGUUAUGCCUUUUGGUGUUACCAAUGCACCUGGAGUGUUUAUGGAGUAUAUGAAUCGCAUCUUCCAUGCAUUUUUGGAUCGGUUUGUGGUUAUGUUUAUCGACGAUAUUUUGAUUUACUCCAAGACUGAAGAAGAACAUGCUGAGCAUCUGAAGAUUGUUUUGCAAGUGUUGAAGGAGAAGAAGCUUUAUGCUAAAUUGUCUAAGUGUGAAUUUUGGUUGAAAGAAGUGAGUUUCCUUGGCCAUGUUAUUUCCGGAGAUGGUAUUGCUGUGGAUCCGUCUAAAGUCGAAGUUGUAUCGCAAUGGGAUACUCCUAAGUCCGUUACUGAGAUUAGAAGUUUCUUGGGUUUAGCUGGUUACUAUAGAAGGUUUAUUGAAGGGUUUUCUAAGUUAGCUCUUCCGCUAACGCAGUUGACUUGUAAAGGUAAAACUUUUGUGUGGGACGUCCAUUGUGAGAACAGUUUCAGUGAAUUGAAGAAGCGUUUGACGACUGCUCCAGUUUUGAUUUUGCCGAAGUCGGAUGAACCUUUUGUGGUGUAUUGUGAUGCGUCCAAGUUGGGUUUAGGAGGUGUACUUAUGCAAGAAGGUAAAGUGGUAGCUUAUGCUUCAAGACAGUUGAGAAUUCAUGAGAAGAAUUAUCCUACGCAUGAUCUCGAGUUAGCGGCCGUAGUCUUUGUAUUGAAGAUAUGGAGACAUUACUUGUAUGGUUCGAGAUUUGAGGUGUUUAGUGAUCACAAGAGUUUGAAGUAUUUGUUCGAUCAGAAGGAAUUGAAUAUGAGACAGCGAAGAUGGCUUGAAUUGUUGAAAGAUUAUGACUUUGGUUUGAAUUAUCAUCCAGGUAAAGCUAAUGUUGUCGCAGAUGCCUUGAGUAGGAAGACAUUGCAUAUGUCCGCUAUGAUGGUCAGAGAGUUCGAAUUGCUUGAACAGUUUAGAGAUAUGAGUUUGGUUUGCGAAUGGUCACCUCAGAGUGUGAAACUGGGUAUGCUGAAGAUUGAUAGUGAGUUUCUGAAAAAUAUCAAGGAAGCACAGAAAGUUGAUGUAAAGUUUGAGGACUUGUUGGUUGCUAGAGAUCAGACUGAAGACAAUGAUUUUAAAAUCGAUGAUCAAGGUGUGUUGAGAUUCCGAGGAAGAAUUUGUAUCCCAGACAAUGGAGAGAUUAAGAAGAUGAUUCUUGAAGAGAGUCAUAGAAGUAGCUUGAGUAUUCAUCCGGGAGCUACGAAGAUGUAUCAUGAUUUAAAGAAGAUUUUUUGGUGGUCUGGUUUGAAACGAGAUGUGGCACAGUUUGUGUAUUCCUGUUUAGUUUGUCAGAAGUCGAAAGUUGAGCAUCAGAAACCUGCUGGGAUGAUGGUGCCUUUAGACGUGCCAGAAUGGAAAUGGGAUAGUAUAUCCAUGGAUUUUGUGACGAGUUUGCCGAAUACUCCUAGAGGGAACGACGCAAUUUGGGUUAUUGUGGAUAGAUUGACGAAGUCGGCUCAUUUUCUACCGAUUAAUAUUAGUUUCCCUGUUGCCUAGUUGGCAGAGAUUUAUAUCAAGGAGAUUGUGAACUUGCAUGGUGUUCCUUCGAGCAUUGUGUCAGAUAGAGAUCCAAGAUUUACUUCUAGAUUUUGGAAAAGUUUGCAAGAGGCUUUGGGUUCGAAGUUGAGGUUGAGUUCGGCGUAUCAUCCGCAGACAGAUGGUCAGUCGGAGAGGACAAUUCAGUCGCUAGAGGAUUUGUUGAGAAUUUGUGUUCUUGAGCAAGGAGGAACUUGGGAUAGUCAUCUUCCGUUGAUCGAGUUCACAUACAAUAAUAGUUAUCAUUCAAGUAUUGGAAUGGCACCUUUCGAGGCUUUAUAUGGUCGGAGAUGCAGAACCCCGUUGUGCUGGUUUGAGUCGGGUGAAAGAGUGGUCUUAGGACCAGAGAUUGUUCAGCAAACUACUGAGAAAGUUCGGAUGAUCCAAGAGAAAAUGAAGGCGUCGCAGAAUCGACAAAAGAGUUAUCAUGAUAAGCGUAGAAAAGAUUUUGAGUUUCAAGAAGGAGACCACGAGUUUUUGAGAGUCACUCCUAUGACUGGUGUAGGACGUGCUUUGAAGUCAAAUAAGUUGACCCCGAAGUUCAUUGGUCCGUAUCAGAUAUUGGAAAGAGUUGGAACAGUGGCUUACCGAGUGGGUUUACCGCCGCAUCUUUCGAAUUUGCACAACGUUUUCCAUGUGUCGCAACUUCGAAAGUAUGUUCCGGAUCCAUCUCAUGUAAUCCAAAGUGACGAUGUGCAAGUUAGAGACAACCUUACGGUAGAGACUUUACCGGUGAGGAUUGAUGAUCGUAAAGUGAAGACGUUGAGAGGCAAGGAGAUACCUCUCGUGAGAGUCGUUUGGACGGGAGCGACUGGUGAAAGCUUGACGUGGGAGCUUGAGAGUAAGAUGCUGGAGUCUUAUCCAGAGUUGUUUGCUUGAGGUAAAUUUUCGAGGACGAAAAUCUUUUAAGUGGGGGAGAGUUGUAACGCCCACUUUCGUUUAAUCGUUUAUUUAAUCGAGUUUAGGUGAUUAUAUUAUAAUUAUAUAAUAUAUGCAUGAUUUUGGUAUGUUUUGAUGAUUUAUGAUGUUUUGAUCGAUGACGUGAUGAGUUAUGAGUUUUGGAAGAUUUGAUAAGGAUAUGAGAAUUAUUUUAUUGUUAAAUAAAAUAAAGAUUUGAAAAUAAUAUAAAAUAUUUAGUUGAGGGCUGUUUUGAUAUUUUAGAUAGUUUUGGGGGAGAAAGUGAGAUAAGAUAAGUAAUUAAGAAGAGGUAUAUAAAGGUUAGACCUAGUUUUAGAAAAACAUUGUACGAACGACUGUUUUGGAGAAAAAAGAGAAAAGCUUAGAGAGGACCAAGAGACCAAGAGUGCUGCGAUUUUCUUCAAACAAGGUAAGGGUGAGACUAAUAAUUCAAUAACGUUGAUCGUUGUAAUUUUGAUGAUUAAUUGACAAAGUAAGGAUUGAUUUAGAAAAGUUUUGGAAUUAGGUCAAAACCUUAAAAAUUGAUGAUCAAACGGUAAAACUUGUUUAGAUUGAUGUAGAAACCGUCCUUUAACCUUAGAACAUGUUUAAGAUGGAUUAUGAAAUCAAAAUUAGGCUUUGAACCAUGUUGUGUGUUGGAUUUUUGAGAAAAACCCUAGUCUGCCCGUGCUUCUGUUCAUCGCUCGCCACGGCGAGUGAUGAGCCUCACCUCGCGAGUGAUGAACUUCAUCGCUCGCCACGCGAGCCCUUCCCUUCGCCUCGCGAGUUGUUUAGUUCAACUCGCCAUGGCGAGCAAUCCCCUUCGCCUCGCGAGUUGUGUGAUGCAGCUCGCCACUGCGAGCCACCUUACUCGCCAUAGCGAGCUAAGGCAGAGUGUAUGUUAGAUUUCGUGUUUCGACCUUUUUAGUUGGACCUUGAGUGCCUUGAGUGCCUGAACAUACCUAGUAUUGAUUAGGAAUGAAUGUAGGAUCAGAGGGAACCCAGAACAACCUUAGUUUGGGAGUUGAGUGGUGCUCGCCAUGGCGAGUAAGUACUCUCGCCUCGCGAGUACAACCAGAAUGAACUUGUUUAUGUGUUUGUGCGAUCUGUGUCGCACUUGUUGAUCAAGAGUGAACCCCUAACUAGUAAUGAGACCUAGUGAUGUCGUUAAAUGCAGUCUGUAGAGUUGUUUAAGUCAUGAUAAUAUUAAUUGAACAUGAGCUAAUGUAAUGUACAUUUAUGCAAGAUAUGAAGAUUUGAUAAUGAUACAAUUUAUGUGCUAUUGAUAUAAUGAUAUCAUCUUGUUAUGUGACCUGUUUAUGCUGCUUCCGUUAUUUAACUAAGUGCAUAAGUAUAUGAUGAAGUUUAGCUCCAAAUUAUUGGAUGCAUAUUGAUAAGUUGAUUACGAUGUUUUGUUCAUAUGUGUCCAUGCAUAGCAUCUCAUUGAGCUUAGUCCUCACCACGAAUAUUAGGAGCUUUGUCCUCCGCACGUUUUAUAGGAGCUUUGUCCUCCGCACGAUUAAAGUAUAUUAAUACUUAUGAUGACGAUUGGUACCACAUGCAUAUAAGGAGUCUAAGAGCAUUGUCACAUUGUCAUGAUUAAGAUGCCUUGUUGAUAAUGAAUGAAUACGUGAUUAAGUGAUAAGUGUUUAUUGAUUAUGUUAUGUCGUUGAUAAUAAUUGGAUGUAUGAUUAUGUGAUAACUGUUUAGCAUUUAUGCAAAGUUAAUAAUGGAAUGAUUAUGAUGUUAAUUUAUGAUUCACGAUUACACUGAUUAAUGUUAUUUUAUUAUGAAAUCUCACCCCUUCUGCUUGAAAAUGUUGCCCUUCGUAUGGGUAACUUGCAGGUGAUCGUGCUUAGUGUGCAGUUGCCGUCGUGAGUGGCCUUGCCUUCACUGUGUCGUCUAGGUCGCUCUGAUACGUAACGGGAUGGGGUUAAUGCUAUAACAUGCUUCAUUCUCUUACGUGACUAAUAUGAUAUUUUUAUAAUGUUUAAGAUAUUGGUUAAAUUAUUAUUUAACUGUUGGAUUUACGUUAUAUGUGAUAUCCCGUUGUUUGAUGUUGACUCUGAUAAAUGUUAUGUUUUUAAAGAAGUUUUGAUAUUGGGAAAACGGGGUGUUACAGAUGAAGUCCUAGAUGCCAUUUAUGCCUUGUUCAUUGUUGUCCACUUGAAAAGGAUAUGGAAACAACAUCAUCUAUUUUUCAAGUUCAUGGAGUUCUUACCCAACAAAAGGAAGAAGAAGGAUGAUGAGUUCUUUGUAUGAUAUAUGCCACCUUAACAGUGGUUGAUGCGUCAAGCUAAUGACAUUAAAAAAGCGCUUAGUGGGAGGCAACCCACGUCAGUAAGCAAUUUUCUAUAUGUUUUUUUCUCUUUAUGUUUUUUUUUAUUGUUCUCAAAUAAAAAUUAUUAUCACAUAACCACUUAUUGGUUGCCACUCGUAGCAUUGAUUGUUGAGUUUGCAUGAAUAUUUUAACCUUUCCAUCUCAAAAAAAAAAAAAAUUGUUUUUGUCUCAGAGAAUUAUUCUGACCGCCAAGGCAGAAGGCUAGCUUACCGACAAACUUCAAGAGCAUAAUGGCUACGGGGCUUGCUGCAGAAGAUAUUCAUCAGAAUCACCAUCUCUUUUUCUAUAGCAUAACCGGUGAGAUUUGAGCCAAACAUUUUUCACUUUUUUCUAUAAUUCUUUCAUAUGUGAGUAUCCAUGUUUAAAUGUUAUUUUUCUAGAGCUUGCAUUGGUUCUCUACAGACUAUUGGUCGUAUUUUCAUACACACGAGGCAUUUGUUUGGUACUCUGAGCCUUUUCAAGCCACCCUUAUUAUUAUGAUUAUCCUUUGCUAACCCUUUUGAGCCUUCAUGCAAAAUUUUAUUUAUUGUUUUGGCGACGAACCAUGUCACAAGUUUUGAACCCACUAUAUUAUAUCUGUUUAAUUUCUUUGGAGUUAGAUAGAGUCAUUGUUUCUUGGUAUUGGUUUGAAACUAAGUUUGGGGUUGCUGUUGGAACCAACAACAUUUUAAAUUUGGAGUGAGUGCUAGUAGAACCUUGGUAAAAAAAUAAAAAACUGAAAGAAAAUUGGUAGACUUAAUAAUAAAAAUUGGUCUGCACAAAAAAAAAAAAAGUAAAUAAAUAAGAGCCAAAGCAUCAAAAAAAUUGGUCUCUUCAAAAAUGAAAAAAAAAAGAAGCAUUUCUACUAGUACUCAUGUUGUUUUGACAAAGAGAUUGAAAGUGAGUAGUACUUUAAUGUUUAGGGAUCCGUAGUGUAUCUAACUCCAAUUCUUUUGAUUAACCUACUUUUCCAAAUAUAUCCCACUUUAACCUAAGCCACGCUAUAACCUUGAAAGACCUUUAAAGUGUGUGUGAUUAUAUGACUUUGAAUGAUUGUUUAGAAUUUCUUCAAGUUCAUAGCAAAAUGCAUUAACAUGUUGAUUUGAGCGGGCAAAUGCCAUGACCAGCCCCACUGGCUUGAGAAUUGGUGAGGAAGAGAAUAGGAAGGAGAGUGUGGUUGAAAGCAUGAACUAUCUUCUCUAAGUUUGCCCCGCUUGAGCAAAAUUGGUAAGUUAGUCAACGCCGGAAGUGGAACGAAUGAGGAUCUGAGCACCCUCUCGGAAAGGUAUGCCAUUUUCAAAUUUGUGCAAUUUCUAACUUUUGUCUAUUUUGUUACUUGAGGACAAGCAACAUAUUAAGUUUGGGGUUGUGAUAAUGUCUCUAUAGUUAGUAUUUUUAGAGUCAUUUUUAAGUAGUUUUAAGUUAAAUUGAAUCAAUUCAAAGUGUGUUUUGGAGUCAAACUGAGAUAAAAAGGAUUUUAAAAAUAUUUAGUUGUGUUAAUUAUUUUUGUUAUUAAUUUUCACUAACUAGAUGAAUUUUUGGAGUUUUUGUUCUCUUAAUUUUUAGGUAAUAAAUUGAGUUGUUGGAGUGAAAAAAAAAAAACCAAAGAUCAUGUUCAACGCAUAAGCCAAAGAAGGGCUGAACUUGUUUCCAUAAGAAAAGUGCAGAACAAAUUUCAAUCAGCUUGAUGUGCGCCCCGCAUGUUAAAAUACACACAUAAGAUUUCUCUUCCUCAUAUUAGUUCCAACGUGGCACCACAUGAUAGGCUAUAAUGCACUCAUUUUAUUCAUGUGGUCCCACCACAACAAGUGACCUUGACAUGAAGAAAGAGAGCACGUGAUUGGAGGAGGGGAAUUAGGUUUCACUUGUUUUGGAAUAUAAAAAGGAGGCAGCUGCAACAAAUACAAGGGACUUUUGGGAACCAGAGAGAAGAAGCAGCGCAUGACAAUGGGAAAGGAAGGCAACGACAAUUAAAGGGAUCCGGAUAGAGAACGACGAUGCAGGGUGACGUUGGUCUUGUCGGAAAAUUUGUCCGGUUUAUUCUCUUUUCUUUGUUGUUUAUUUUCUUUAUCAUGAGUAGCUAAUUUUCAUGUUGUUAGGGAUGAGAGUAUCUAGAUGACAACUUUUGUUAUAUGAUUUUCUUUUGAUUAUUGAAGAAGUUUAUUGAAUCAUUUUUCUUAUCUCUAUUCUUAAUGCUUUUAUUGCUUGGCCGCCUUUAAAUUGAUAUACGGUUUAUAUUGUGAAACAGAAGUUGAAUGAAUUUAUAAACGCUUUCAGAUAAGAAAUUAUUGCCUUUGUAAUCUAGGAAUAGAUGCAAACCCUUGAAACCAAUUACGAAUUCUUGUUCAAUCAUGCUUAAUUCUAAUCUUAAAUUCACUAAGGAAUUAGGGAUUAUUUUAGGAUUAAUGAUUUUUUCACUAAGGAAUUAGGGCAAGAAUAAAUUAGAGAAUUCGGUAAUGAUACGAUAAGUCUAUUCAAUGGUCAUAUUCAAGUUGUUAACUCAAGAUAGUCAUCUGGUGAAACUCAUCCCUGACAAUCUUAUUAUUAUAGUUCAAUCCAAUUUUACUUUACUUAAUUUUCAUUAUUGCAAUCACACAAAUUCAGUACCUUUUUGUUCAAUUAAGUCACAAAUAUUAUUCGACAGUAUAACGCGAUCCUCGAGUUCGACACUCGGUCUUACCGUUUUAAUUUUACUACUUGCACGAUUUCGUACACUGGCGAAAAUCGCUAUCAAACAUCCUUUCAGACAAAUCCAAAGCGAUCAAUGGCUACACAUUUAGUAUCACUGGAGGAGUUGUUUCUUAGAAAAGAAGAAAUAUACAAUAUUGACUCAGUACAUAAUGAAAUUUGAGAUGAGAUCACUAGAGAAAACUAAUGAAGAAACAAGUUGGUAAAAUUCUUGCUAGUUGAGAUCCCCUUAUGGAAAAAACUAUUGCAAGUUGUGUUAACUCAUUGUGAUAGUAACACGACUAUUGUGAAAUCGAGAAUCGUUACUAUAAUGGUAAGAGACGAUAAUUAAGGCACGAACAAAGAACAAUUAUAGCGAUAGCUACUCUUCAAUGGAGCGGUUAAAGUGGAUUUUGUACUGAUGAUAAAUUAGCAAUUCCUUUGUCGAAAUGAUUAACUAGAAAGAAUGUUUGAAACACAUCCAAUAGGAUGAAACUAAUGCCUAAAGAUCACGAGUGAUGGUAAUUACCCAGCCUAUAUGACUGGAGAUCACAAAAAUAUAGGUUCAAUGGGUAAUAACAAGUCAUGUUGUGAUAGAACAUGCUAUGAUAAAAUCUAGAAAAGUCUGAUUCCUGUAGCCAAAUGAGGAUGAGAUAAGAGAAACUCUAAAUGAUAUCAUUACCAUAUGUGGAUUGUAGUACAAAGCUACAAGAGUACUAUUGAACUCACCUAUACGAAUGUGGAACACCGGCCGGUUACUAUGGGAUUUUGAGGCAGAAUACCUAGAACGUUCGUCAAAUUGGGAUAAACGUGCAGGGCCAUAAACACACGAGAAAUAAUAUUUGUACAACUAUCUUGUGACAACUAUUUCUCUCAUACUCAAAUGGUGUUCUUUUUCUCUCUCUUCCUCUCUCUCUCUCUCUCUCUCUCUCUCUCUUUCUCUCUCUCUCUCUCUCUAUUAUUUUUGACCAAUAAGAAGAGAGAGAAACAAAGUUGUCACCAAAGUUGUCAUUAAAUGGAUGUCCAAAUAUCAUUGCUCUAAACGCACAAGCUUUUAGAAUACACCAGAAAAAGGUUGCGUGCAGGUUCUGUGUCUAAGAUCGAGUUUAAUGCCACAAGCAACUCUAGUUAAUUGAAAUUUUACUCGCUAUGCAGAGGUUCAAGUUGUAGACGACACCUUUGUUUAUUAGCAAUCUUAUAAAAACAUCUUUGACGUUAUUUCUGAAACUAUUUUAAAAUCCAAGUGGGGAUUGUUGGAACAUGUGUAAAAAUUGAGUUAAAAAACUAGACACAAAUUCUCACAUUUGGUAGAACUAGUGUUGUGUGAAUUAAAAAAAAGUGGAAGUCCUACAUCGGAUGGUGCACACAUAAUAGUAGUAUAUAGUAGGGGUGUACCUCUAAAGGGGUACAUAAUUAUGUGAACAAAGUAAGCACUAGCGAAAUUUUUUUGAUAUAUAUUUUAUUAUUUGAAAAUGUUAACUUAAAUAAUUAAUUUAAUCAUUAUUAGAAAGUGCUUUUUUAGUCCUCAAGUUUUGCUAAAAUAUUUUAGAACGCAAUCUGAAAUAUUUUCGUAUUCAAUAUAAUAUAUUUCGGUAUUUAUAUGAAAUAUAUUUUUGUACUCAAUAGUAUACUUUUGUACUCAAUUUGCGAUAUUUUUAUACUAGAUCUAAUAUGUGAAUUACUUGUUCCCAAAUUUGCACACAUACUAUUUGUGAAUUUUCUCUAUAAAUUCAGAGCUCACAUAGUUCAUUCCAUACACCGAAAAAUAUUCUGAAACAUUGAAUCAUUUUCUUCGCUCUUCCACUUUGACUUGUGUUAACGAGUCUUUCUUCUCUUCAUCUAGUCCUUUUUCGGGGUAUAAUAUCCCUUGGAAUUAAGAACGGUUUUAUGAGCAUAGUCCCUCAAUAAUUUUUGUCCUUGCGGAAUAAAGAAUAUUUUUAAGAUCAUAGUCCCUUUUCUGGAAUAAUGUCCUGUUCAGAAUUAAGAAUGAUCUUAAAAUAAAAGUAUAUAUAAUCUCUUUUAUAUUUCCUUCCCUUGGAUAAAGUUAUAUGUUAGAAUGGUGAUACCACCAUAUUUGAGUGGUUGAAAUUUCAUAUUGGUAUUUGGAUUUGUUAAAAGUUAGAAUGGUGGUAACAUCAUAUUUGAGUGGUCACAAUACCAUAGUAGAGUGGUCAUAGCACCAUAAUUGAUUGGUUUCAGUACUAAAAUAUGAGUGGCCUUAGUAUCAUAUUGGAGGUGUAAUUUUCGAACGUUGUUUUUACAGCGUAGUAGUUAAUCGUGUUCUUGUAGUUUAACUUGUUUUAUAUAGUCUCCUUUGCAUUACUUUGGACAGUACCAUGGAAUGUCUUAAAGAGAGCGAUAUGGUCGUGACUCAACCUAGUAACAACUUCAGUAAAUUUAUUUUUGGCAAAAUUACAAUUUUAGUCCCUUAACUUAAUUUCAGGUAACAGUUUGGUCCUUUAUCUUUUUUUCAUUUCAAUUUAGUCAUUUUUGUCCAUUUUCAUAUACAUUUUCAAGCUUCAAAUCUAAUAUUCUUAUCCAAACAUAAACGAGGAUCAUAGAUUUGAAGACUGAAAGACCAUAAGAAAAUAAAAUCAUUAAUUUUAAGCUUAAAAAUUCAUAUGAAAAUGGAUAAAAAGGACCAAAUUAAAAUGAAAAAAAGAUAAAGGACCAAACUAUUACCUGAAAUUAAAUUAAGUGAUUAAAAAUGUAACUUUACCUUUAUUUUUUUAAAAUAGAAUUUAAAAAUUCAAAUACAACGGUGUUCCGUUAAAUGUUAUUAAAUGUUAUUCUACAUCAUUAUAUAUGAUGUGUAAUAGUAAAAAAUAAGCUCCAAAUUGGGUUGUGUAAAAAAAAUAAGCCUUAAAAUUUUGUUUCGAUUAAACUAUGACGAGUACAAGUGUAUUUGAUAGGAUGCCCAAUUUAGAGUAGAAGCCAUCACCACAUUCUUCCUUAGCUAAGAAGCCCUCAUGAAAAUGCAUACAUCUUAUUUUAUUACAUACUAUAGAUCUCAAUGCUCCACCCAAUUAACACAAAGAAACAACACAAGAAUAGAACCAUCCAUCACAUGCCAAUUUUUUUUUUUUUGGCACUUUAAAAAAAACCCCAUAUGUCUUGUUUUGAUUUCACACGAAGAAGAGAUACUAUUAAUACAAAGACAACAUUCAAACAAUGAAGCAUUGAAUCCGACACAAACACCGAACACAACAUAAUCAUGUCGCUACCUAUAAUAUAAAAAAUAUAAGACAACGACGCAUUCAUAUAUAUAAUUAAUUUUGUGUGUGGAACUUGGUAAGAGACGGAGGAGGUAUUAAUCAAGCAUGAACAACCAAAGCUAUUAACAACACAAUUCAGACAAAAUUCCCUCAACAUGCCCAAAGGCCAAACCUAAACAUUAUCUUUAAAUGUGUCAAUUCAAAAGCAGCACACAUGAACAUAGUUCAUAACUACAGUUUUAUUAAUUAAAAUGUUUCAAAACAUUACUAAGAAAACUGAAAUUAAUCCAACUAAAAAAAACUGAAAUCAAUCCAAUCUAAAUUAAUGUAGGACAGCAUUCUCCCCAAUCAAAUUUUUAUUAAAAGGGUCUUAUUAAUUAAUGUUCCCGGGAAUUCUUUAAGGAUUCCAAAUUUAGCAAUUGUUUUUUCAAAAAUAACUAUUACAAUUUACAAUGCAUUAAAUACACAAUUUUUCAUAAAAAAAAACUUACCAUUUAAAAUGUUUAAAGAGUGUCUUGGGGGCACUAGUUAACAUUUCCCUUAUUAAAAAAUUUGGAAAAUGUUAAGUAGUGCCCAGUGCCCCCGGAAAAUGUUUUUUUUCGAAAAUUAUGUAUUUUACUUUUUGAAACUUGAAAAAAAGUUGAUUUUAAUGUUGACUUUGCUUUUUCUUUCUAAUUUUGGCUACUUAACUAAUACCCGGAGGCACCGGUUAACAUGACCCAAAAAAGUUCCUCAUAUUUUUCACUUGCCUCCUCCACCUAUUCAUCCUAUAGUUUUGAGCCAAUUCUUGUUUAUCUUUCCCUGCCACCAGUUGAGCUUUCUCACCGUUUUUCUUUGCUUCCUCCUCUUCCUUUUCCUUUGCAAUUUCAAGAUAUUGAAUCAAAUUCUUCAAGCAAGACUCAGCAUCUUCGGUGGUCGACUUUGGCAUCAAAUUCUCGGCAACAUCAGCAGGUGACAUAUUAGUCUCUCCCAACAACUUUUCAAUAAUUGGAAACAAAUCACCAUGAGACUCAACAUCCAAGUAGUUCUUAGCAAGAACCUUGAACGCUUGAUAUCUACAAUAGGACAUUUCUAUGUGUUUAUCCAUCCUUCCCCUCCU
rnacentral:lncRNA from 1 species